GCAUUAAGGACCGUCAACAAGCUCCCCCAAGCUUAACCUUUGCUCGUCCCUAAGCAAAGAUGAACUCAAGAAUUUCUGCAGUGGUUUCAAUACAUGCGUUCAAACAAGAUCUCAUCUCUGGGUUAGGGUAAACUGUUAAGAUUUAAAUUUACUCACUUUCCUUCCACCAUGGGGCUUGCAACUGUCACUUGUGUCUUGAGUAGUUAAAAGAUAGAACGGUCUAGUCAAGCGCCAUGUCUCUUGUUCUUCGAUUAACUAUAGCUCUGGAGUUUUUGCAGAUUUUCAAAUAAAACUCAGAGAUUCCUUGUAUGACUCUCUCUAGUCUCUCUUUUGUGGUAUUUCUGGAUCCUUACCAAGGCAGUGAUGGUAUAUGCCUUCUCUCAAAGUAUGUGGUAUUUGUGGUAUAAGGCAUAGUGGCAUUGCCUUCUCUCUCACCCUACUCUAAUAAGGUUUUGAUAUCUGGAGCUCAUAGGUGGGAGACAGCUAAUACAUACUUACAAGACAUUUAUUGCAUAGUCAAACCAUGGAUCCAGAAGAACAAGUCAAUAAGUCAAAUCAAGAUGUGCAUGUGUGGCCAAUGAAUGGUGUAUGGUGAUGAUGGCGAUAACAAUAGUGAAAGUCUAAUUCUACUUGUGCUCUUUUGAGGGGAUACAUACCUUUCUUGCUCUUUUGAAACUUUUUGAGAAGAAUGAGAUGCUCUAUUUUCUCUCUUUUUUUUUCUUUUCUCUCAGGUGGGUAUCUUGUACCCCUAAUUCUACUAUCGGACACUUGUCUAUUUUUACCCCUCGUCUCACUUUUUCUUUUCUUUCGAGGUUCCGGGCACUUGCCCCUUUUUAUUUCCUCGUAUUCACUUUUUUUCUCUCUCUCUUCUUUUUUUAGAGCACUCAUCUCAUGAGAUAAUAUAGCAAGUGGUAGUAACAAGAUAACUUGAGCAUUUAUUUCACAGGGGAAAACAGAAAUGUUUUUGGCUAUUCUCUCCCGGAUUAGGAGUAGAAUAUUUUUGGGUGGUUCUGAAGAUGGAAAUGGGUGGAUAUAUGUGGAUGCGUACUUCUGGAGUAGAAGCAGCAUGUGUGAGUGAACGUGCAAGUGAAUCUUGACUUAACCACAUGACAAGCUCCUAAGGGUCUACACAGCUUGACCACACUCAAUGCUCAUAAGCGGUGAAAAGUAAAUGUAUGGCUUAAAGUUUAGCAAGCAUGUAUAUAUGGUUGUGGUAGGAAUUUAAACUCUCAUCAUACAGGAACUCAUCAUGCAACAUUUUAAAGAUUUUCAAAGAUAAAAUUCUCUAGAAUUCUAGCAUCUCUAGGAACAGAUAAACAGCAGCUCAACCUUCCCAUAUCGUAUCCGUUAACGUCUUAGACUUUAGAUCAAGUACUCUUCCCACAAGUUCAGGUUUAGAGCAAAUCUUAAUUAAUAACAGUCAUGCCUAAACUUGAGAGAGAUUUCAAUUUUGAGAACUAGUCAUGGCAGAGCAACUAUUCAUCAUUUCCAUGUGAGAGCUUAUCAUGAUGGUUCAUAGCAAACUUUAAUUAUUUAUUUAUUUAGCAAACUAAGCGAAGAUAUAUAAGCACAAACUCUUUAUUUGGGUUUUUAUGAUUAUGCAUCUUUUUAUUAUUUGAGUAAAGUAUAAACGUGAGUAGAAACACUUAGCUGGAUAAAUGGGAGUGCUCUCCCCCAAGCUGGAUUUUGACGAAGUUUCUUCUGAUGUAGCUAGCAGGUGGCGGAGGUGUAUUUGAAUGUCAGCAGCACCCUGACAGUGAUUAGGAUGUCCUCCGUCUACUAGUCUUCUUUGAUCCUUGAAUUCUGUGGAGCUCAAAUAGACAACAAAGCUUUGUGGAACUAGUUAAGUGUUAGCAUAAAUAUCUAGCCUUUAUCAUGUUGAGCCUCCUUAAUAAAUGUUACUCUCUUUAGUAGGAUCAUAAAUCUAUUUUUAUAUUUCCAUUUUUAUAAGACAGGAAUAUAUUUAUUUUAUUUUUAUGCCACCACAGUGAAUGUACUUAUGGGUUUUAUGCCAUGAGCAUACUCACAUGGGGCUUACUAUUUUUAACAUUUUUAUUUUCUUUUUCAAGAUGAUAUGAACCUGAUUAACUAAGCAAACUAUUUUAAAAUAAUUGAAAGGAAAAGGAUAACUACCAAGUUUACCUCUUGGCAAGGCGUUCGGUGCUUUUAAGUCCUCCGAACGGGACUCUCCGUUUUCUCAGUCGUCCUGGGAUUGGCUGGAUGGCGUAGUCAGUGGUUCCGGUGGAGCCUGCUCUUCAUGUAUAACUAUCUUUUUUCUCCACACCUGACUCGAUGCUACGGUCUCCUCAGGACAGUUCUGUUCAAGUUAUAUGUCUUCAGACCUUACAACUUCUCCAUCAUAGUCUACCCAUCCAUCCUUGAUGAUUUUGCCUUCUCUGGUUACGGUUGCGUCGUUUUCUUCUUGUCCUGACCUGCUUAGAAUCUUCAACUAUAUAGUUAGGGUCAGUAAAAUAGCGGCAUACCUUGUUAGAGGGGAAGUGCAUGUGGACUUCUCUGGUUCCAAUCUAGAUGAUUGCUUUAACAGUGCUGAGGAACGGUCUUCCAAGGAUGAUGGGUGGAUCGUGCUCGUCUUCUCCCAUGUCAAUAACCUUCAACCUUUCGGAAUGUCUGAUCUUCCAUCUAGAGCUAAAUGUAUAUCGGUUUUAGGGGUAUGGUUCCGAACAGGAGUUGAUAGGUGACUACGGCCAUUAUGUUGACGCUUGACCUGGUGUCGCAAAGCGUCUUGUGGAAGUUGUAUCUAUUAAUGGAGCACUGGAUGCUUGGGAUACCAGAGUCAUCCUUUUUGGUCAGGGACGGUGAUUUAAGUCGACGAUCUUGACCUCCUUGAACUGCAGUGACCAUCUUAGCUGACUUGGUCCACAUUUGCUUGUUCUUGUCCCUCCUGUUGGUCCUCUUCCUUGGUUCAUGUAGGGAUUGCUCUGAGAUUUGUGUAGUCUUGUUCUUGAAGGAAAACGUCUCCUUCCUUCCCUUGAUGUAGAAACUGAUCUUGGCAGCACUAAUGUACAUGAUAGCUCCCGAGGUGUUCAGGAAUGGCCUCCCUAAGAUGACGGGUGCCCUCUCAUCAGUACCAGUCUCUAUCACCACGAAGUCUGCUGGAGCAUAUAAGGUACCAACUCGGACGUAGAGGAUCUUCAAUAUUCCCUUUGGGAAACUUAGUGUCCGAUCUGCAAGCUGCAAACACAUGGCUGUUUCUAAUAAAGGAUGUGUAAAGAAUUUUUCAUAGAGUACCCUGUGCAUAAUGUUGACGCUGGAGCCAAAGUCACAGAGUGCUUCUGGGAAGUCCACCAUGCCGAUGGAGAUCGGGAUGACGGGGCGUCCUGGAUUGCCUCUCUUGACCGGCAGAAGGUCAGUAAUUACUUCCACAAUAGUGUUACUCUAGAAGUUACGUCCUUAAGCAUCUCAGGGCAGUGAUUGCCUGACUGUCCAGUAUCUCCAGUGUGUUUGUGCUCGUAGAUCUAGGUUCUUCACUUGGUGGAGUCUGGGAGUUGUAAAACUCCUUCAUAUUUUGCUCGAAGUGUACCUGCUUAUAGAGACAAGGCAGAGAUCAAGUGCAUGGGCCCUGUUGGUGGAAAACACCAACAGAACCAAAAGUGUAUUUGUUCUUCUCUAACCUUAAGCAUAGUGAGCAAGACAAAGUUGAUGGAUAAUAAAAUCAUGAUUGUAGCAUUUAAAACAUUUGUCAGAUCCGAUCGCUCAACCUAAUGGAAAGAUAAUCUAUCUAUAUUUAUGUUGUUUUUUUAUGAAAUAUAUCUUCCAAAGAUUGAGUGUGCAACAUUUUAGGUCAUAUGAUUAGGAGUGUGGGCUCACAAAGGUAGAAGGACUAAACAUAUUGAAUCGAUUGGGUUGGUUAAUCUAGAGUUGUAAAUCAUACAUGUUUGUCUCUUUUAUCCAUGUGAAUGCUAGAAAUAAGGAGAAGCUUAUAGAAGUGAUAGUCAAGUACCUUAAGAUGUUACCUUACUUGAAGAGUGAUGGUACAGUAUCACCUUGUGGAAGCUUUCCUCUCUUAGCGGUUGUGCAUCGUGUUUGUGGCACCCUCCAUGGAUCAUCUCUUGUGAGCUAUGUCUUCCUUGUGUAAAUUGUUAACCUUCAUGCAUCUCUCUCUUUGUCUCCAAUGUGAGUUUAUCUCAGGACUUCGCAGGUCGAUAUUGAAAGUUUUCCUACAGGGGUUAGUCCAACAAAAUAUCCAAUAUCUACUAUAGCAUACUAUCGGCUCAAAAAUCAACCUAGACACCAUGUCUAAUUUGAUUUAGGAGGGAAUUUUAACCUAAGCAUCAUGCUUAAUUUAAAAUCCUUUGGAAGUAAGAUCAUCAUUCCUAAACUAAGCACCAUGCUUAAUUAAGAGAUAAAUGAAACUACUCCAACCUAGACAUAUACUAAAGCAAAUAAAGGUACCAUGAGAGCAUUUAUAGAGAUCUACUCAAGUGGAGAUGAAGUAGUGUGAUUAGUAUUUAACAAAUUGAGCAUGUCUCAAAGGUAGGGACAACCAACAUAGCAACAUGGCAAAGGAUGUUUUUAUGUAAAGUACUCCCCCAAGCUUGAAUUUUGCAAAAUUCAAGUUUGGAUGAAUUUAAUUCAAUGUUGUAUGAUGAUUGGUUGUACAUACCUUGUGCUUGUCAUUCAUCUGAUCUUCUUGCUCCAAUCCUGGAAAUGUUAGUGACAAGAAUACCCAAAGGAAUAUUUUUACAAUUAUCCUGAUAUGCUCAACACACAAGGUAAUGUUGCAAAUAAUUAAAAGUUUAUGUUAUGGUCUGAUCAGUGCUUAUUUUAGGACGCUAAGCUUGUCCUUGGGAAACCAUCAAUUUAUGUCAGUGAAGUGGUUUCCCCUCCAACGCUGACCUAUAUCAAGAUCAACUCAACGAGAUCUGCAAAAUUUAUUAUAGACAUAUGCAUCGACAACCGCCCUUUUAAAGUUUUUAUGAAUAGAAAGGAAGAGGGGGUUGGAGAUCUCGAAUGUGGUGAUGUUGGAGAGACCAAUGGAUUGUGAAGAUGUUGCAUAUGAGCAUGGAGUAAGUGAAGUGGCUAUGAAAUAAAUUCCAUGCUCAUUAAUGCUUAGAGUGAAAUCCAUGUGGUAUGGUGAAAGUGAUAAGGUGAGUGUGGUAAAAAAGGAAAAGAAAAAGGAUACACGGAUGACUUGGUUUGAAACUAGCACAGCUACCGUUCCCCGGCAACGGCGCCAGAAAGCUUGUUGGGUAUUUUAAACGCAAACAGAAAAAUCCGCAAGCACACGGAUACCGAUGUAGCUUUCACCCGGGAGUAUUCCAGAGUAUCGAUUUUCCACAGAGAACAUGAGUGUACUAAUUAAGAUCCAAAAUCACCCAAGGAUAACUAUAUAAUUAUUUUUGGUGGGAAGAGAGGAAGUUUCCUGAGAGUUCUCUAGUUGAUCUAAGAAUCAAGAAUUACUUCAAGAUUAUCUAUAUCGGGACGUCAGAGCAGUAACCACAGAAAGAGAUGAGAAGGGGGCUAGGAAGGUCUGACUACGGUCCUACAAACACCGAUCCGAACGUGGUGGAAUACGUCAACCGUUAGGGCUGUCACUACCCUAGGGCUACCACAACAAUCCGCAGGAUUGGGUGCAAUUCCAGGUAAUUGCAAGACUAAACACCACGUCUAAUCUAUUAAUUACUACUCUAGCGUUAUAAAGACUAGAGCACUUGAUGCAAGCAGGAAUCCAAUAAAUAACUUGAAUGUAAAUAAAAGUAAUUAAAGAACUCAGGAUUAUGAAUUGAAGAACCUGGAGAACGAUGAAGAACGAACCAGAUGCUACAAAAGUAUAAUGUUGAGGAAGAUCCGACAGAUCCGGCUCCUCCUCCGCUCUCCUCUUCUCUCUCCCUAUUUUCUAGAUUACAACUAGAACUAACUAGAACUAGAACUAGAGGAACUAGAACUAGAACUAGAUGAACUAGAACUAGAACUAGAUGAACUAGAGGUAGAACUAGAAGAACUAGAGGGAUCCUCUCUACUUGGAUGAAGAAUUGAAACCCUAACUUUGAUUCUGUAGAAGAGGUAUGCUCUCCAGGGGCCAGGGGGCCUUGCUUAUAUAGUCUUUUCAGAUGAAUCUGGGCCGUCGAAUCGAACCGACAUUAAUCGCACGGUUUUCCUUGGUUCCUUAGGUCGGUGGAGCACGAUCCGCGAAGUUGAAGCUGAUUGGUUACUGUAGCUGGGCGGGCACCCAAGGGACUUGGGCGGGCGCCCUGCCCCCGGGCCCGAUUGGCCUCCCGUUCGUUCCCGUGGCUUCUAGAGUCUUCUAGAUGGUAGAAAAUUGCACGGCACGUUAAUAUCUCUAUGUAAACCCGACGUGUGGACCUUUCUUUCAUAUUUCCUGAUAACCCCCUGCAGAAAUAGACAAACACCAAAACUCGUGGAAUUCUGUCAGAUAAAACCCUAAGUCUAGGUGUUGGCUGCAUAUAAGUCUUUUUCCAUGAUUAGUUGAUGCUUAAAUGUGAGCAUUAUGGACCGUCAACAAUGGGUCGAUCCAUGACAGUUUAAGUGUCGAUAACACCCCUAUCGGCUGGAUUAAAAUGUAUCCGGGACUGAGUAUGAUGUUUUUUUAAAAGAGAUAGAUGCCAAUAACAGUCCUAUAGGCUAGACCAAAAUAAUUAGAAGUUUCUGAAGGCAGAACAAAACAUGUCGCCGAUGAAGAGCUUAUACAUUUAGGAGAGCUUGGAUAGUCGAUAUGGCACGCAGAUGGAUUUGAUCGGCUUCUUCUAUCUCUUUGAUGUCUUCAUCGGUAGAGCCCUCCACUGGCUUCAACUUCUUCUUCAUCUGCAAUGCUUUGCGGGCUUGGAUGUUUCGUUCUUGCUAGAGAGUCUUGAUCAUUUCGGGCAGUUGACUUUCCUCUUGCUGAGCUUGAGAGAGGGCCACUUCUACUUGCUUGAGCUCUGCCAAUAGGGCUUCCCUUUUUGCCGACAGAUCGGAAAUCUUCUGCAUUAAUGUCUCCACUGAGGACUGUAGGAUGCCAAUGCUCUUGUGCUUCUAAUCGGCAAGGCGUUUCACUUGCAUUACCUCCUCUGAGAGUUGGGCAUGGGUGGCUCUAUCGGUGAGGCGUUGGGUGGCCUUUUGGUACUGAAGCUGACGGCUCUCCAAGUUUGCAGCCUGGAAGAGGAUUUCUUCAGCGUCGGCGGGGAUUUGACCUCUGAGAGCUUUGAAUAGAGUUUUGGCUGGGUCAGAGUCAUCAACUAAUUGAGCAGUGUCCUGAUGAAGUACGGCCAACAGAUCUUCUAGCUUUGCUCUGAUUUCUGCCGAUGAAAUCCCCACUGCUUGGGAAGAGCUUGCUUCCUCGCCUUCGUCAUUAGAAAUUUCGAUGGCAAAGGAAAACAAGCUAUCCGGAGAGUCUUGUUCCUGGAGAAAAAAUAAGAUAAGUUAUUUGGUGAUCAAGUAUUAGUAAUGUGAAAGAUAGAGAUCAAAUGAUUUCCUUGUUUCAGAGCUAUCUCUCGCCUCUGGCUAGUUGAGACCGAUGGUAUCACAGUUUGAUCGGCUGGUGUUGCCGAUGGCACAAUAUCAGCUGAAAAAUUAAUAAAGAUAAUUAUAAGUUGGAAAAAUAAAUCCAUCGGCAAUGAUUUCGUAGACAGUACUUUACCUUGAGGGGGUGCAGUGCUUAUCUGAAUUGAGGAGACUACCGAUGCUAUGAUUGAACCCACUGGAUCGGCAGUCUGCUCACGUACAUCGGCUGAUGUCUCUUCUGGCUGCGGUGCUUCUUGCGGCUGAGGUGGAGAUGGUGCUUGCUAUAUCUGAACUUCUGGUUAUGAAGGGGACGAUUCCACAUGAAUCGGUGACCCUGGAGGAGGAGGAGGAGGCGCUGUUGUCUUCUGGCGUUUUUCUUGUGACUUGGUGUUUUUGGGGCCUUUUCUCUUUACCUUGCUAGACUCGGGGGCAUCGACACUCGCCUUGGUACUUCUGUUCUUUACCGAUCUGCCAGUUUGCUGAUGCAACAACGAAAGUUUCAUAAGUACAAAUGUAACAGAGCAUUGAUGAAAUUUUGGUUGAGUUAAUGAAAGUUACCGAUGAAGUUCCCAUGGCAGCCGAUGUAUCCUGAAAAGGCUGUGUAAGUAUUGAAUGGAAUCGGUAUAAAUUGAAGAAGUCAAGAGUUUACCUUGAAAGCUUGUGCCAAAGCAGCAGCUGCGACUGAUGGAGAUGUCUUGGCUCGUUUAGUGGUGACCUUCUUGAAGCGCACGUUCCGGUGCAUUAAAGCCGCCAAGCUUGGUGCAUUGUUGCCGAUCAGAGAGAUCGGGCCCGAUGGGAGCAGUUCGAUCGGCUUUCCGCUCCUGCUGACUGUCGGUGGUGUAUCAUCGACCUGCUUAAAAGGGAGGAAGUAAGUUACUAAUAAAAAUAAAAGCAAUAGAAGGAUUGAGGCAUCGGUUGCAGACUUAUAGUGUUCUCGGGGACUUUGUACUUGGGGUCGAUCAUACCGCGGUAUGUAAGGGCCGAUCUGCAGAACAGGUGCUCUUUCUACUCCGUCCACCACUGUUUGUAUGCCUGGGUGAUGAAGAGAGCUAGGAUCCAAGCCGAUAAAUCAAUGUCUGAUGUAUCGGCAUUUGGUGGGAGUUGAGCUAUUCUGAUCCACUCAAGACCACUGGUGAUGACCUCCCUUGGCUUCACCACAUCGGCGUAGCAGAGUGCAAUCGGUAGCUGUCCAAAGGCCAGCUGACGGGCCAAUGCCAAUGGGUUGUAGAACUCAUAGGUGAGAUUGGAGGCCUUUCCACUACUGAAGAAGUUUACCGGUAUAGCUCUCGGAGUGAUAAUUGCCAUCAUCAGAUCGUGGUCCUUGUUGAGGGCAUUGUCGAAGGGGUGGAAAGUGAGUGGGAAUCUGGUCUCUGUAUCCUCAUAGGGCAUCCAUGCCCGCUGGUGUUUGGUCAGACCCUCAUAGAGAGUCUGGAAGAAUCGGCUGACCUAGUCUUCAUUCCCACCAGUGCUAGGUAAAACUAUGGCAGCUUCACCAUAGUUCAAAGGGGGGCGAGUUGCCGAUUCUUCCUCAUCCAGUUCAUAAUCUUCGGCUAUGUCUCUAGGGAAGCGUUGUGAGAAGGGGUUGAAUCCAAGGCGCUUAUGCAUGUGAACGCUAAGCCACAUAUUAAUGAACCACCAGGGACCUCCCAAGUUACCGAUGGAUUGGCCUAGCAAGAGUUUCUCAGCUACUUGGUGGAGGAGGUGGUAGACAGAGCCAAGCAAAUAUCGGCCAAGAGGAAAUCGACCACCAUUGGCCAAUCUCUCUACUGCCAAUGGAUGGACAGAGGUUGGCCCUGCUGAUCGGCCGCAGAAUACAAAUUUAUCCAGCCACAUAUUUAGAAAAAUGACAUGUUCCCUUUCACCAACAGAUCCUGUUUUUUGGUACUUCUGAAUGUACCCAGACCAAUCGCCGAUGCUGCGAGUUUCCACCUUAGAACUAGGCUUAUUAUCAAACAGAUGACUGCUAUCGGCAGUUGAUAUAUCUAAGCCAGUGAGCAUAAGCACAUCGGCAAGAGUAGGAGAAGCAGGACCAUGGCCGAACACAAAAGCAUUAAGGGUGUCUGACCAAAACUAUGAGGCAGCUAUUAGCAGCGACUCGUUCUUCUCCAUAUCGGCAAUGGAUAGCCUAAUGCAUUGGUCCAAUUUUCGCUCACCCCACUGGACUUCAUUUGAAUUACAGAUUCUCAAGAACCCGUCUUUCCAUCCCUUGGUGGGGCUGGGCCAGGAACGGAAAGCAUCUUUCCACAGAUCUAAGGAGAAAUUUUCGACUCUAAAAGGGAUCCUAUUUGUCUCUGCGUUUAUCAGAUCGGUGGGAUCUGGGUUUCCCAAUGGACCGAGACACUGAGAGUGUUGUUGAUCGGUAGGAAUCACAAUCUUGUUAGCUAACUCCUAGAGGGUUUGAAGUUUGAAGGAACAAGAAAAGAGGAAAAAGGGGAAAAAAGGAGUACUCAGUAAACAAAUUUGCAGAUGAACAGGAGUACAGCAAAAGAAUAAAAAGAAGGGGAUGGUAAGUUGACCUCAGGGACGACGAAGUUGAUGGCCAUUUCUUCCCGGAGGAAGGAAGAGAUCGGAGUUCUUGAGGUUCUCGAACAGUGCCACCGCCAGGAGGGUGGAUUUGAGCCUGUAGAAUGAUAGGAUGGAAGAAGCGUACCAGACAAGGAGGUAUUUAUAGGACAAAAAGGGCAGGGUCAAAUCUGACUUAUCUCUUUGCCGCAUCCAUGAAAUCUGAGGGUGUUCAGGUGAAUAUGGUAACUGUUCGCACGAUAAUCAAGGGAUUGCGCAGGUGAUUUGACAGCAAGUGGUAGUUUUAAAGAUAUCUUACUGCAUAAAGAUCGCCUGGUCGGUGCAUCGGCAGUCUUCUCUAACGGUAAUAUUGCCGAUGAGCACAUUGCCGAUGAGCACAUUAUGGAGAGAUUUGGUUUGAUUCGAGGUACAUGCUGUAAAACCGAGCUGAGGUUGUUCAGAUUCGGUGAUUAAUUACCAAUCAGAAGGAGUAAUUGUGGAAAGGCGCCAUUACUGUGGAGAAUUUCGAAGCAUUAAUGAUUUUAUACUGUGAAAUUGGGGGGCAUGUGUUGACACCGUUUUUGGACACAUAUCUCUGAGUACGUAUCUGGAGUUAAUAAGGAGUAGAUCGGCAAGCAGGAAAAUGGUGGCUGGUUUGCAGAUGAAUUGCCGAUGGGGUUGGUGCCGAUGCGAGAACGACGGGAUAUGACUGAGUCCAGGAAAUAGUGAUAGGAUCGUGCCGAUGACUAGCACUGAUGAUUGCCGAUGACGGAGAAAGGCGGUCUGCCGAUGGCCAUGGAGGAAGAUGCAGGGGUUGCCGAUUGGCUCAUAACCGUCUACCGAUCGGUCGUGGAGGACAAUUUAAUGUUUUCCUUAGUUAUUAGAGUUCGUUUUGUUUACGGAUUCCGUUUAAUUUGGAAUUCGAGUUCUAGUCGUGUCUGGUUGUAGUUCUUUGGGACAGGGUAUAAAUCUAGACCCCGUGGCAAUGUAACAGAUCAAUCAAUCAAACACAAGUUUUUACACAUAUUCCAGCAUCUACUUUUUUCGACGACAUCGUCAUAUUUUCCUUUUACUACGAGUUCUUAGGAAUUCGUCGAGUUAAACUCGGCGUGUUCUCAGGUUCCGCGUGAGCACCUCUUGGCCGUGACAUCCGGGCGCAUCGCUGUUGUCGGAACCAAAGUGUUCGAGUUACCACCUGUCUCGAUUGUAUGGUCAAAUCGGCUGGCACGCCUUAACGUUUGAAUCGGGUAUUAGCCCUUUGUGUUUGCAGAUCAGCUUUUGCACCAACAGAUUCUCAAUCGAAAUAUGCUAAAACAUACAAAGUUGGCUGGCUGUCCUGGAAAAUCGAGAGAGCAAGCAUUUCGCAAUAGCUACUUGUAACAUUCAUUACUUUUAAACUACUCAACCAAAUGUCAUGAAAUUUGGACAUGAAGUGGAUAAGCAAGAUAGCUACAAGUUUGUUAUAGACAAGUUUUCCAGAAAACUUUAUCUUCAAGCUGUUCUUGAACAAAUGCUAUCAGCUACACAGAAAUGCUCUCGGAAAGACAUAAAUAGCAAAAAAUAAUAUUUUCCACAUAUUAAGAAUGUAACAUAGGCUCAAACCAAAUGCACCAGUAGAUAGAACAUGUCUAAGAAACACCAUAAAAUAUCAUGGCAAGGUUUAAACUCAUAUCUAUCAUCAUCUUUUCUAUUUAUUUAAGUAUAAAGGUGAUUUAAUGAGCAUACAUCACAAGUGCUCCAAAAAUUCUAAAAAAAUUACAGCAAGCUAUUUGGACUACCACCAGUUAAAUGUAAAAAUUUCAGGGCACUUGCACAUGCAAAUUGUGGGAUACAAAAAUGACAAGCUAACAAAGGCAUUCAAGGCAUAAAUGUGAAACCCUAUCAAAAAGUGUCAAAUAACAGAUUUCAGAUUUUACCUAGCUUUGUUUACUCAUGAUUACAUCACCCAGCAAGUGUCACCAUCAAAGGAGUUAUAAUUUAUUUACUAAAAAUGCCAUAAGAAACUUCUAUUUAAACAAGAAAUAUUUAUAACUUCACUAAAGGACAUCCAAAAAUCGUGAUAAAUUUAUCAGAGCUUACUCAAGUCAUAAGUAACCACACCCUAAAUUUGCAUGGCUAUCAGAUCCACAGAUCUCCAGAUAUAAUUACCUCCUAUUAAAUCAAGAUUAAAUUAUAUCUAUUUAUUUCUGCAAAAACAUGGCAUCUCUCACAUUUUUAAUAAAAACUAGAUCAUCACAGGAACCUAGCAAAAUUGGAAUCACAUCAUUUGGAUCUGUAUAACUCGAGUUAUGGAUUUUACAAAAUCAACACAGGAUCUGCAAAAUAGAAAACCAGGGGUGUGAGGGAGAGAGGCUGACAGGGACCCACUGGUCAGCGGGACCCGCUUGACAGCGACACAGAGACAGGGGAGAAGCUCGUCGCCGGCGAAACUCGACGACGGCGAGGUCUCCGGGGAAACCAAGGGCACCAACGUGACCCUCUCACCAAGGCGGACCUGUCGAGGUCCGAAAACCUAUCUCUACCGAGCUCUAGAGGGCUCGCCGGCGUGAAUGGUGGCUCGGCGGCGCUGUAGGCGAUACGCCGGCGUGCACAGCCGAUACCGUCCCGGUUGAGGUUCACGCCGAGCAUCAGUGAGUCAAGGGGAAGCACUAGGAACAAGAAUGGAGAGAAAUGGUGGAGUAGAGAGGCCUGGCUACAUCGCCGGUGAGCUCGGGCGGAGCUCCGGCGAGGAAGAACGGCUCGGAGCUCGGCAAUGCCGCCUUACCCGUGCUCGACAGUGGCCAAGGAGGUGACGCCAAGGUAGAGGGGGCUCUGGCAAGGCGUUUGGCUGGCUGGCUUGGCCCGAGACGGCGAGGAAAGCUCGGGCGAGGCUGUUGUUCCGUGGCGGAGCUCGCCAAGGCGAAAUGGAAAAGGGAGAGAGCGCUGGGGAGGCGAAAUGAGGACAGCCAAGGCUCCGGGUGGCAUCGUGGCAUCCAAGUGGAGGCAUCAGGGCUGACAGGCAGGGUCGCCGUCGACGUAGGGCCGCCACAGGUCUUCCACGCGUCGGCCGGCCGGCGACUGACGAAACUGAAUCGCGCGAUUCAGUCAUCGUCGGCCGUGUUUGAAACCCAAAAUUCAUCGACGUUUUACUCCUGAUCCACUAGACGGUUUUGGCUCGAAUUUGUCCCUCUGGGUAGAGCUACACGAGUUCUACAAGUUUGCUUAAAGGAUUGAAGUCUGGUUCGGAUUGGAUUUCAAACCACAAAGCUCCCAAGUACCCUACCACGAAACUGUGUCGACUCUGACUUAGGCAAAUUUGGCUAAGUGUGGAAACAGCCCUGAUUUUUGCCUUGUGAGCUAAUAUUGAGUGUGUUCCAAGCAUUUUCAUAAAAAGUCAUAAACAUAACUUUUGUAGCUUAUGAAAUUUACUACAACGUUGUUUUAGAUGUCAUUUACAUGCAAGGUCUCUAACACCAGUUUCAUAAAACAUCUUUGAAUAGAGGUUUAGGGGGUCAACUAGGUCAACCUAUGGCUAACCAUAACUUAGGGGUAUUUUUUGACAAAACCUCCAACAUAAACUUUGCUCAAAAUGUUAUCCUAAGCAUGAUUAAGGUAUUUUGGAAAACAAUGUACACUUAUGUGCAUUGGUCACCCAUUACUAUCACUCAUAUCAAGCCACCCAAGCAAUUCAAUCAUACAUAGUAUACAAUAGAUGACAUGAGAUCAUGAUGGAUGCUUAUGAAUGAGCAUGAUGAUGCUUAUGUUGAUGCAAUGCUCAUGGUUAACAUGCAAGCUAACACUAGAAGUGUUACAGCCCUCUCCCCUUACAAAAAUCUCGUCCCAAGAUUUGAAAGACGUACCAUUUUUCAUAGAAUGAGGGAUAAGUUACUUGUAAAUAGUCUUCCCUUUCCCAAGUGGCAUCUCUUUCACUUUGGCGGUUCCACAAAACUCUAAAAAGUUUAAUCACUCUCCCCCGAGUAACCCUUUCCUUGACAUCAAGAACUUGUACAGGCUUCUCUUCAUAGGAUAGAUCGGACUGCAACUUAAGAUCUCUUAUUUCAACUCUCUCUUCGGGCACACGAAGGAACUUCUUGAGUUGAGACACGUGGAAUACUGGGAAAAUAGCUCUCAUUUAUGGAGGUAGUUGUACCUUGUAAGCUACCUUGCUGCUCUUCUCAAUGAUUUGGUAGGGUCCCACAUACCUAGGGGCGAGUUUUCUUUUUACGCCGAAGCGAUUCACACCCUUCAUGGGCGAUACCUUGAGGUACACAAAGUCACCUACUUCAAACUCUAUUGGUCUUCUUCUUCGGUCGGCAUAGCUUUUCUGUCUAGCUGGGGCAGCUUCCAUGUGUUUCUGGAUAAUGAGGACUUGCUUUUCGGCUUCUUUGACAAAGUCAAUUCCGUAGUACCUCCUUUCACCAGGUUCGACCCAGUUUAGAGGAGUUCUACACUUGCGACCAUACAAAGCUUUGAAAGGAUCCAUUUGAAUGCUUUCUUGAUAGCUAUUAUUGUAUGAGAAUUCAGCUAAGGGUAGCCAUUUUUCCCAUGCACCCUUGGAAGAGAUAACGCAUGCUCUCAACAUGUCUUCCAAGAUUUGAUUCACACGCUCAGUGUGACCGGAGGUUUGAGGAUGGUAGGCUGAACUGCGAACCAACUUUGUACCAAGGAGUGAAUGCAAAUGCUCCCAAAAGUGGGCAGUGAAGUGAGGACCUCUAUCAGAAAUAAUAGUGCAGGGUACUCCGUGCAAUUUAACAAUCUUAGAGAAGUACAACUCAGCAUAAUCAGAUGGUCGGUAGGUAGAAUGUACGGGAAUGAAAUGAGCUGACUUGGUCAAGCGGUCAACAAUAACCCAAAUAGAGUUGUGUCCCUUUUGAGUAGGGGGAAGUCCAACAAUGAAAUCCAUGCUGAUUUCUUCCCACUUCCAACCCGGAAUCGACAAGGGUUGCAAUGAACCUGCAGGCUUAAGGUGAACUGCCUUUACCCUGCAGCAAGUAUCACACCUAGCAACAUAAGCUGCUAUUUUCUUCUUCAUCUUGGUCCACCAAAAAUGAGGUUUCAAGUCUUGGUACAUUUUGCUACUACCAGGAUGAAUGGACAACUUGGAAGAAUGAGCUUCAUCUAGAAUUUUGUUGCGUAAUUCACGGUCUUUAGGUACAACUAGCCGAUCGUCAAACCACAGCACACCUUUCUCAUCUACCCGGAAAUGCUUGGUGUCUUGCUCUUUCAUUUUUCUAUUGAUGUGGAAGAUACUAGGGUCAGUCUUUUGGAGCUCUAUAAUUUGACUCUCUAACGAGCAACUGACUACAAUGUUGUGCAGGACCACAGGAUGCAAUAAUUUGAACCCUUCCUCUAAGAGAGGUCCAACAUGUUGUUUCCGGCUGAGAGCAUCGGCUACAACAUUGGCUUUGCCUGGAUGAUAGUGUACUUCCAGAUUAUAGUCUUUUAUCAAUUCCAACCAUCUUCUUUGUCUCAUGUUUAGUUCGGGCUGAGUGAAUAUAUAUUUAAAGCUCUUAUGGUCAGUAUAAAUGUGAUACAGAUUACCCAAUAGAUAAUGCCUCUAGAGAUUCAAUGCAUGCACAACUGCUGCUAACUCUAGAUCAUGAGUCGGGUAGUUGGCUUCGUGCUUCCUCAGCUGCCGAGAGGCAUAGGCAAUAACUCGGCCUUCUUGCAUCAGUACACAACCAAGGCCAGUGCCAGAUGCAUCACAAAAGACAUCAAAUGGCUUUUCAAUGUCAUGUUGUGCCAAAACAGGAGCAGUGGUCAGCAGGUGGCGUAAACCAGUGAAAGCGACAUCACACUCCUGAGACCACACAAAUUUCAUAUCUUUUUGCAUUAGCUUGGUCAUAGGCUUGGCUAUUUUGGAGAAGUCUGGAAUGAAGCGACGAUAGUAUCCAGCUAGGCCGAGAAAACUCCGAACCUCAUGCACUGAAGUCGGGGCAUUCCAGUCUAGAACCUCUUGUACCUUCGACGGGUCAACUGAAAUACCGUCUUCAGAUAAAAUAUGGCCUAGGGAAUGCACUUUCCUCAGCCAAAACUCACAUUUGCUGAACUUGGCAUAGAGCUGAUGUUCUCGCAAUCUAGUGAGUACAAUCCGAAGGUGCUUCUCAUGGUCUUGGGCAUUUUCAGAAUACACCAAUAUGUCAUCGAUGAACACCACCACAAACUUAUCCAGUUCAGGCAUGAACACCAAAAUCAUCAGGUACAUGAAAUGAGUAGGGGCAUUAGUCAGACCAAAGGACAUGACUAAAUACUCAUACAACCCAUACCUGGUAGAGAAAGCCAUUUUAGGAAUGUCUUCGGGUCGAAUCUUGAUUUGAUGAUACCCGGAUCUUAGAUCGAUCUUUGAGAAUACCUUAGCCUUAGCUAGUUGAUCAAACAGAGUAUCAAUGCGAGGAAGAGGAUACUUGUUUUUGAUAGUCACGGCAUUCAGCGGACGAUAGUCUACACACAUACGUAGAGACUUGUCCUUCUUCUUGAUAAAGAGAGUCGGACAACCCCAUGGAGAAGAACUAGGCCGAAUAAGACCCUUCUCUAGGAGUUCUUGCAAUUGCUUUUUCAAUUCUACCAAUUCAUUGGGUGGCAUUCGAUAUGGCCUUCUAGAGAUAGGUGCAGUACCCGAAAUUAGGUCAAUUUUAAACUCUAUGUCUCUAUCCGGUGGCAACCCGGACAGAUCCUCUGGAAAGACAUCCGGAAACUCACACACUACCGGAAUCUCUGCCACAGUGAGUGGUCUAAUAGCAUUAGCAGCGUGACGGAUGCCAUCAUUCUUGGGAAGCUGGACUAAGAAGGCUUCUUUGCUAUCAGGCUCCCACAACAUGACUACCCUCAUGGAGGUGUCUAUUAACACCCCAUGCUUACUCAUCCAAUUCAUUCCCAAAAUAACAUCUAUCCCCAAGCCUGGCAAGAUUACUAAAUCUGCUGAAUAAUUACGCCCUUCAAUGGCAAUAUGUACAUCCCUCACUAAUUGAUUUGUAGCGAUUUGAUUACCAGCAGCACUAAUGCAAAAUUUGCCACUGUCAAGAUCAACUACAUGCUGCCCAUGCUUAGAUGCGAAAGCUUGACUCAUAAAUGAAUGCGAAGCUCCAGAAUCAAACAAGACAACUGCAGAGUGUUGAUUGACAAGAAACAAACCAACGGUGACCACUUCACCUUCAGGGAUUUCUUCGACAGUGGUAUAGUGCACUCGGCCAGUACGGUUAUUACCCCCAGCUGCAGAAUUCCUCUUGGGAUAAGGGCAAUCCCUCGCCCAGUGACCGACUUGUUUGCAGUUAAAGCAGGGACGGUUAUCAGGGGGGGCUUGGGACCUACUUGACCUGUAGCACCCCUAGGAAGAGCAACUGUGAAGGACUUGCGAACUCCUGUCUUCACAUUCGACUUCUUCUGCAGCGGCCUGUACCUUGUCACAGCAUUGGGCGGGCGAUAGGCCGAUUUGCUUGUCACCGGAGCCUUGGACUGCGAAGCACCUGCCUCAUAAGCCCUCUUGCGGUUCUUGGACACGGCAUAAACAGCAUUGGAGUUCUCCUGGGUCAACGUACCACUUACAAACUCAUUGAAGGUGGUGCUCUUGUUUCCAGCCAUGUUCUUGGACAGUUUGGGUCCAAGCCCUCUCUUGAAACUAGCAAGUUUCUUGGCCUCAGUAUCAACAAAUUCAGGAGCAUAGCGAUACAAGUUAUUGAAAGCAUGAAGAUACUCAGUCAAGCUUUUAGUGCCCUGAGUCAGGUUCAUGAACUCGGUAUGCUUGAUAGUCAUUAAGCCCUGCGGAAUAUAAGUGUUCCUGAAAGAAGUUUUGAACUGAUCCCAGGUUACAACAGCAUUGGCAGGCAAGCUGGUCCUAUAAUGACUCCACCAGACACCUGCUUUGCCUUCCAACUGGUGUGCUGCAUACUCUGCCUUCAACUCUUCAGUCACCCUCAGCAAGCGGAAUUUCUACUCGAGAGUGUUCAGCCAUUCAUCAGCUUUCAGAGGUUCAACGGCCUCCUUGAAAAGCGGCGGUUUUGUGUCCUGGAACUCUUUGAAAUUGUUGUACUGAUUGGCCUCUCCGCCUUGGCGGGCAUGGCGACCACCCCGGUUCUGCUGUGCCAUAGUCUGCAUAGCUUCAUUGAGCAUCCGCUGCGGCCUACGGGCGAUACGCCGGCGUGCACAGCCGAUGCCGUCCCGGUUGAGGUUCACGCCGAGCAUCAGUGAGUCAAGGGGAAGCACUAGGAACAAGAAUGGUGAGAAAUGGUGGAGCAGAGAGGCCUGGCCACGUCGCCGGUGAGCUCGGGCGGAACUCCGGCGAGGAAGAUCGGCUCGGAGCUCGGCAAUGCCGCCUUACCCGUGCUCGACAGUGGCCAAGGAGGUGACGCCGAGGUAGAGGUGGCUCUAGCGAGGCGUUUGGUUGGCUGGCUUGGCCGGAGACGGCGUGGAAAGCUUGGGCGAGGCUGCUGUUCCGCGGUGGAGCUCGCCGAGGCGAAAUGGAGAAGGGAGAGAGCGCUGGGGAGGCGAAAUGAGGACAGCCGAGGCUCGGGGUGGCGUCGUGGCAUCCAAGUGGAGGCGUCGGGGCUGACAGGCGGGGUCGCCGUCGACGUACGGCCGCCACGGGUCGUCCACGCGUCAGCCGGCCGGCGACUGACGAAACUGAAUCGCGUGAUUCAGUCGUCGUCGGCCGUGUGUGAAACCCAAAAUUCAUCGACGUUUUACUCUUGAUCCACUCGACGGUUUUGGCUCGAAUUUGUUCCUCUAGGUAGAGCUACACGAGUUCUACAAGUUUGCUUAAAGGAUCGAAGUCUGGUUCAGCUUGGAUUUCAAACUACAAAGCUCCCAAGUACCCUACCUCGAAACUAUGUCGACUCUGACUUAGGCAAAUUUGGCUAAGUGUGGAAACAACCCUGAUUUUUGCCUUGUGAGCUAAUUUUGAGUGUGUUCCAAGCAUUUUCAUAAAAAGUCAUCAACAUAACUUUUGUAGCUUAUGAAAUUUACUACAACGUUGUUUUAGAUGUCAUUUACAUGCAAGGUAUCUAACAUCAGUUUCAUAAAACAUCUUUGAAUAGAGGUUUAGGGGGUCAACUAGGUCAACCUAGGGCUAACCAUAACUUAGGGGUAUUUUUGGACAAAACCUCCAACAUAAACUUUGUUCAAAAUGUUAUCCUAAGCAUGAUUAAGGUAUUUUGGAAGACAAUGUACACUUAUGUGCAUUGGUCACCCAUUACUAUCACUCAUAUCAAGCCACCCAAGCAAUUCAAUCAUAUAUAGUAUACAGUAGAUGACAUGAGAUCAUGAUGGAUGCUUAUGAAUGAGCAUGAUGAUGCUUAUGUUGAUGCAAUGCUCAUGGUUAACAUGCAAGCUAACAAUAGAAGUGUUACACCAGACAAUACCGGCAUCAUGGCCGUUCGCUUGCUGGGGCCUAGAUAUGAUCGGGCCAUUGAAGCCUACUCUUGGUAAUUUCAAGUUUGUGUUUGUACUAGUCGACAAGUUCUCUAAGUGGAACGAGUACAUGCUGUUGGUUAAAGCAACUUCAGAAAAGGUUGUAGAAUUCCUCAAUCAGAUUAUACAUCGUUUCGAGGUUCCUAACAGCAUAAUCACCGAUUUGGGUACUCAGUUCACUAGCACUGCAUUUUGGGACUUCUGCGAUGACAGAAGCAUAGCUGUAAAGUACGUGUCUGUAGCUCAUCCCCGAGCCAAUGGACAAGUCGAGUGAGCUAACGACAUGAUCAUAGAUGCUUUAAAAAAGAGGUUGUACCAAGAAAAUGACAAAGCAGUGGGAAUUUGGAUGAAAGAACUGCCAGCCAUGGUCUGGGGCCUCCGAACACAACCUAGUCGGAACACAGGCAUAUCCCCUUACUUCAUGGUAUACGGGGCCGAGGCGGUCCUCCCCACUGACAUAAAGUUUGGAUCUCCAAGAGUCAAGCGUUUUGAUCAGUUUUUAGCAGACAAUACUAGGGAAGUUGAAAUCAAUUGCAUAGAGGAAAAACGACUAGAUUCCUGCGUCCGCACAGCCAAGUACCUUGAAGUCUUACGACGAUACUACAAUAGGAACGUCAAGGAGCACUUUUUUGUGGUUGGCGAUUUGGUACUAAAGUGGAAGACAAGUCAAGAAGGGAUGCACAAACUAUCCACACCCUAGGAAGGACCCUUCAUGGUCGUGGAAGUCACGCAUCCCACUUCCUACAGACUGGCUUAUCCAAACAUAACAACUCUACCUAACUCUUGGCACAUAGACAAACUAUGACGUUUUUACCCUUAGACUAGUACACCUCGUAUGUAUCUUUUUCCUUAUGAUUAAUGACAAGUGUUGGUUUUUUGUUCCAUACUUUUUAUAUGCAGAAUAUUCAACAAGUAUGAUCUUUUCUGUUCUCGACACACAAGCUUAAGUAACGAAAUCAAGUAGGGUACUCAGUGAUACAUCACUCUUACGAGUCAUUCACAGAGCUUAACCAUGGUUUACAAAUUUCUGCAUUAUUACAAACUUUCCCAACAAAGUUUACAAUAAAAGCCCCUCUGGGCGGUCCAAGUCUACACCUACAGACUAAGCUAGUGGUCACUACUCGGGCUGCGCGCUAGCAUGCGUCUCUGGUGCCAUCGAGGAGGCCGGGGUUACUGGUGCUUGGCUGGUCGAGACCGCAUGCGCCGAUCGUCCAUCUGCCGCAGCGGACGACUCUGACCACUCCCUAAUUGACCUAUCUAAACCCGGUUGGCUGGGCAGAGUUGACAUCCCGCAGAGGUUAACAUCGCCGAUUACAGUAGCCGACAGGUCCAGAAGACUGACUCAAAGGUCAUCUGCCUCCUCCGGACCAACCUCCUUAGGGUACCCUCCCUCCAAGCGGGACAGGUCGAUAAGGGGGUAGUGGGCACGUACUGUUGACACUUUUUUUGAUGAAACGGUGGGGGAGCUCCCCACCACCUUUUUUUUGUAUUUCAAUAUAAAUAAAGGAAUCGUUACAAAGUCAGGAACCAAAGAUUACAGGGCCGCCUGUAUAAAUGUAUUUUUACACAGGCGGCUCACACUACACCGCGUGUGUAAAUAAUUUUUUGAUAUAUAUUUCAAAUUUUAAUUUUUCCCACCAAACACAGUGCUAAACAUCAUAUAUAUAUAUACACACACACACCAUACAUACACCACAUAUAUAUAUUAUAGAAUUGUAAAGAUGAAAUCAAACAUCAACCAUAAAAUUACAUAUAUAUACACGUCAAUACAUGUUAUCCGCACAACCAUACAGUGUUUACGUGUCAUUUCGUUUCGGAUUUAGACCUGCUAUUUCUGUCAGCACUCUAAAUUUAUCACUUGCUAAAUUGCCCUCAUGAUCAAAAUAUGCACCGUCACUUGGAAUUAUUUCUCUCAUAAUAAAACCACACAAGUCUGCUACUAUAUCUUCCAGAGUCUUUGGUGUAAAGGCACGUCCUUUCCUUGCUUUUUUGGCUGGAAACAAAGUUUAAAAGCAUGAUUGACACAUGUUCAAUAUAUAAUUUUGCAACUUUAAUGAGAAAACUUCAUACAUAGAUAUUAUUUACCAUAUUUUUGUCCCUGACGUAACGUCCCCGCUGCCUUAUAAACUCACAGACAUAGUACCCACAAUAGACCGAUCCAGGUGGUUGCUUGUGGCACUAUAUAAUGAGCAACGGAUUAUUCUAAAUUUGCCAUACUUUAUGUAUUAUUUAUAUGAUGAAAUGUGUUCGGACAACUUACCGGAUAGUGGUGUUGUAUCAUCAAUGGCACCCUAGGAUCUGAGCGUGCGGCGUCGACCAGUCCCUUUUGUUUCUUAUAAAACCGCCAUGCCCUGUAGAUAUCGAAUAUAAAUCACUAAAGUUAUUUUGAAACUCUAAUUUAUAUAAGUACGCAUGUGGUUUCAUGUUGGCUCACCUUUCUAAUUGAACCAAGAAUGGUUGAUACUUCUCGGGAGGAACAUGUAAAGAGUCUAGGACAAGCACCUUCCCUUCGAAGGGAUAAAUAUAAAAAACAAUCCAAUGGUCACUACAUGAAUAAAUGAGUGAGCGACACAUGUAUAUUGUUUACACGAUAAUUAUUUGAAGUACGUAUAUGAAGUCAAGCUUACCUAAAGUUGUAAGGUGCCAAUAUAAAAUCCCUAUACUUAUACCUCAGUAUUGAUCUACCAAGAUAGAGGGCAUAAUUAUCCUCGUAUUUUCUUUGGAACUCUUUUAUAGCUUCUGCAACUUCUUGUGGUGUUUUGUCUUCCUCUAUCUUUGCUCUAUCUUCCUUUGAUAAUACAAAUUUGUGCAUAUUUUCUUGUCACUUGAUAGGGCUCAGAUAACCGACCAUCGAUCCGGUAGAUAAUAAUGACCUCUGCUCGUUAUCUUGCAAACUACAGAUAACAUCUACAUAUUAGAGUUUCACACUACAUAUUAAUAAUAAUUGUGUGUGCAUGAGUGAUACAUACAAACACCAGAUUGUUAUGAGUUGGACGUCAAGCCGCCUAUAGUUCAAUAACAAAUGCAUGUCCUCAAAGGUAACAAAUGCCUUGCUUUUUUCGUUACCAGUAGCAAACACAUCUGCUGGUAUAUCAACUCUGAUUGCAUGGAGGCCAGCAUGCACUGCUCUCAUGUACCAGUCAUGAAACCUUUUUAUCGGCCAUUGAAUCAUAUCAAGCAGCGUCCAUUGGAGCAUAGGCCUUCCGGGCACAUAGUCACUGGGGACAUUGACAUAAUCAUCAAUCGUUGGCUUUUUGAUAUCCUUUAGGGUCAAUGGUUGACUUGAUGGCUGUUUGACAUGUACAUCACCACUUGGGGCUUCCUUUGAUGGGGGCAUGGCUUCUAUUGACUGGGUGGUGGCUUCCUUUUUCUGUGACGGUUCGAGCGCAAUAAGUCGUGUCGUCCACUACUUUCCAAGUCCUUUCAGAAAGAGAGUUGUGCCUGCUGCUUUCCCCUUUUUUGGCUCAUAGGGAGAAAUCAAUUUUGGAAUUGGAAAUUUCUUCACCUUCUUAGAGGCUGGUGCUACUAGGGGAGUUUGGUCAUCUUCCUUCUGCUUUGGAGGUAGUGGGGGAGUCUGCUCAUCCUCCUUCUCCUUUGGAGGUGGUGCGGGAGUUUGCUUAUUCUCCUUGGAUGGCGGAGUCUGCUGCUCAGGCAUGUUCUCCUUGACUGGCACCUCAGGCUCAUUCUGCAACAAUGCCAUCUCAUGUAUUGGGGAGGAUGGGUGGCUCAUAAAUGUACGGGCAUGCUGGAGCAUGCAUUGGUGAUGGUGGCUGUUGAUAUGUUUCGGCCUCUUGGGAUGGUUGAGGCACUAUGCUUGGAGAGGGUGGCGCUGGUGGAUCAGUCAACCUUACGUACCGUCUCGGCUAUUGUAUGAAGUUGUUGAUUGCUUGUCCAAGCUUCUCUAUACCCUCAGAGGUCGGGAUGUCUAUGAAGUCGUCUUCGUAUCCGGCCUCGACCGUCAACACUUCCACCCUACAGUAUGCAUCUUACAUGUCAAUAGUAUGGAAUGUACGUCCUGGGAUAGCAUUGUCGGUGGCCACUUGCUUUGUAUGCUGAUUCUUAAGGCCAUAGGAUAUGACCAAGGAGCAAGGCCAAGGUCUAUCAAUAUCAUCAACUGGAUAAUGGUCCUUAUUUGUUGUUGACGCUAUACUGCUUGGAAAGGGCAUAGAUUGUGUGGCCAUCUCGUGACGCUCCAAGGGUUGAGCUGGUACAAGCUGCAUAUGCGAAAGAGCUUGUGAGGACAUUUGUUGAGCAGACACUGCUCCUGCCAACCGCUUCAUCACUUCAGGAUCAGGAUUUGUAAAGAAGUCUUCCAUCAUAUCCCUAAACUUUUUUGCAGCCUGCUGCUCAAAAAAAUCUUUCAUUUCCUCCUUAUGUCGGUCUCUUUUCUUAUACAUGCCUUUCCACUCAUCACUGAAUCCUUCUUUCCAACUAAUUCUGGAGGAGAAUCCCCAUACACGUCCUGGAUGCUCGGGGUUACCUAGAGCAUGGGUAAGGAUGUCCCUCUCCCUCUGUGACCUCAAGGCACCUUUCUUUUCUAGGUUUGAUGCUUCCAAAACCUUGUCGGCAACUUCUCUAAUCUCAUCGGGACAUGACAUCUCAUCGCUCUCAGUGUUUGCCUUUCGAGCGCGAAGCCAAUACGCACUCCUUUCAGGCACUAUAUCGGUCAAUGCCAAAUGGCCCUCUCUCCUCUUUGCAUCGUCUUCUGCCCUCUAUUUAGGAAUCUUGGUCUUAUAACCACCAGUGCCAAGGUGGUGGUGAUACUUGUUCCUCUUCGCGAGUUCAGAGGUGGCUUUGCUCUUAGCCUUCGCGUCGUCCGAUUCUCUCAUCAAACGAAAACGUGCCCACUGAGCCUCUGUGAUAGGGUACCGCUUCGUCGGGUCCCGUCCCUUCUGCAAGCACUUUUUGUUCAUAUCGUGCCUAUAGCCCCAGAAUGAUAUUGCCAACUGCUUCAUGACAUAACCCUUGGCCAAAUCAUUUGUACCAUCGGGAAAAAUAAAUCGAGUGCACAAACGAUUCCCGCAAGUGGUCCUUUUCACUUGUGGCACCAGACUCCAAUCACUCCAAGUGAUAUCAAAUUUCUCUUUUACUAAAAAUCCAAUUGCGGCCCUAAAUUUGGGUAGCGCCUCUAGAGGUGCUAAGGGCUCUCCGCUUGGACUUAACUCUAUAAUCUGAUAAACUUCUUUUGGAAAUCUAUUCUUUCCUCUGUCUCCUCGUGCCCGAUCACUCUUUUUUGUUUUACUUCUUGGCUCAGAGGAUGUCCUAGUCGUUUGAGGCGCCGUGUCCUUCUGAACAUCUUGUUCUUCUGCCUCCAUUUCGGCAACAACUUGAGAUAACACCUCCUGCCCAUUCAAUUGUAGGUACAUACAUAUAUACACAUGUAUUCUAUUGUAUAGACACUACUACAAUAUAUACCUCAUCAUCAUCCGGAUCAGCUUGAGGCUCGUAUGUCGGGUCAUGUUUCAACUCUAGACGAGCCUUCUUAGCUCUGGGGGAUUCACGUGGUGAUACGCUUGGGCUUCUAUAAGUGUCGGAUCCAGAGGUGUCGGAUCCCGGUGUUUCUAUCUAGGCUUCAACAUUCGAUGGAGUACUCAUCUAAUUAAACAAAUAAUUUAUAAACAAUUAACUUACAAACUCUAAUUAACAAACCCUACUUAACAAAGUAAUUAAUUAAUCAAUAAUUAUUAAAUUAUUAAAUAAAGAAAUAAUUAACAAUUAAUUAACUAGCUAACCCUAAUUAAGAAACCCUACUUAACUAAUUAAUAACUUCACAAAUAAAUAACUAAUUAAUAACUAACAAAUAAAUAACCCUAAUUAAAAACUAAUUAAUAACUUAACAAAUAAAUAACUAAUUAAUAACUAACAAAUAAAUAACCCUAAUUAAUAACUAAUUAAUAACUUCACAAAUAAAUAACUAAUUAAGUAACGUAACAAAUAAAUAACCCUAAUUAAAAACUAAUUAAUAACUUAACAAAUAAAUAACUAAUUAACUAACAAAUAAAUAACCCUAAUUAAAAACUAAUUCAUAACUAACAAAUAAAUAACUAAUUAAUAACUAACAAAUAAAUAACUUAACAAAUAAUUAAUUAAUCAAUAAUUAAUAAAUAAAUAAAUAAAUAACAAAUAAAUAAUAUAUAAAUAAUUAUUAAUUAAUUAACAAAAAAUAAAAAAGACAGCCAGGGCGGCCUGCCAGGCGGGCCCAGCAAGCCAGCUGCCUGGCUGCUGCUGGCGCUGGGAGUGGCGGCGACGCGCACGACUGCCGCCGCCGCACCUCGCGGCCACUUGCUGCUCACGGCACGGCGGCUCGCGGCGCUGCUCACCUCGUCGGCGGCGCGGAGCUCGGCGUCCUCGCUCCGGUGGCGGCGGCGCGGCGGUGGUGGAGGACCUUCGACGGUCGUCGCGGCAAAGCGCGGCGGAGUGGGCGCGGAGGCGGCGGUGGCGCGCGGCGGCGCGGCUCGCGGCGGAGGCGGCGUGGGCGCGGAGGCGACGGAAUUCGGCAACCUGACGACGUCGUUUUCGUCAAAUCGCGCCACCAGACUUAGAAAUUUUCGCGUCCCGCGCUUAGGGUUUUUAUAGGAGGGGAUUAGUACAGGCGGCCCUUAAUGACCGCCGCCUGUACUAAAUGUUUACACAGGCGGCCCUCAAUGAUCGCCGCAUGUACAAACGUAUUAGUACAGGCGGCUCUCCUUCAGGCCCGCCUGUACUAAUAUAUUUGUACAGGCGGCCUUCAUUAAGGGCCGCCAGUAAUAAUAUAUCUUGUCUUUUGUUUUUUUAAUUAAUUAAUAAUUAUUUGUAAAAUAUUUAUUUGUUAAUUAUUUAUUUAUUUAUUAAUUGUUGAUUAGUUAAUUAUUUGUUAUGUUAUUUAUUUGUUAGUUAUUUGUUUAUUAAUUAGCAAAUAAUGAACAAAUGGAAAACCCUACUAAACAAAUAAAUAACUAAUAUAUUUAUUUGUUUAUUUGUUACUAAUAUAUUUAUUUGUUAGCAAAUAAUUAACAAAUAAAUAACUAACUAACCCUAAUUAAGAAACCCUACUAAACAAAUAAUUAAGAAAUAAUCCGUAAAUAAGGUAUAAAACAAAUGGAAAAUGUAAACAUGUUGCUUAAUAAGAAAUAGUAGCAUAAGGUACAAAUGAUAAGUGAUACAUGAGUUACAUGAGUAAUGACAACUUAUAGAAUCUAGCGUGCUACAGUCCUUCCUUGUCCAUCGUGGCGCACCCAUGGCAAUGAGGAUUGUGGGAUACUUUUCUCAACAUUUUUUAUGUUUUCUUGAAAGUUUGUAAAAAGAGACAUCUCGCUGAAUUGGUUAACAUCCUCCAAAUCCAUUACACCAUCUCCUAUAAUUUGUUGCUUUCGAGGAAUAGCUAUAUGCUUUGGCUUGUGGCUAUUUUUCUUUUCAUCCUUACAAAGGAUUUGUUCCACAUAGAAGACUUGUGUUGCACGGUUAGCAAGGAUCCACGGAUCAUCUUUAUAACCUACUUUACUUAGGUCAAGAACUCUUUGGCCAUAGUUAUCCAUAGUGACAUGUUUAUCUUAAACCCAUCGGCAGCGGAACACUGGAAUCUGCAGGAGUGUACCAUAUUCUACCUCCCAUAUGUCAUCAAUGAACCCAAAGUAUGUAGUUAUUUCACCAGUUGCAUCAUCUAUAGCCUCACAUCGAACGCCACUAUUAUGUGUCAUGCUCUUGGUGUCCCUAUAGCUAGUGGAAAAUGAAAAGCCACUAAUGUCAUAGCUCUGCCAUGAUGUGACCUGGCUUGCUUGAUGGUCCAGAUCCUAACAUCUUAAUGGUUUCUGAUUCCUCUGUCAUGUCCAAAUCCUUUAACCAUGUGGUGAACUGACGCUUGUGUUCCUUGUGUACCCAAUCAUUUGUGCAUCCUGGAUUCUUCUCAUGAAGCUCUUUCAUGUGCUGCUCAAUGAAUGGGUCCAUUAUUAUGAGUUGUUUUAGUAUGCUAUAAUGUGCCUCUAGGACUAUGUUGUAAUCUGGCGGGAUGAAUGAUUUCCGUCCCAUUCUCCCGCGUCCAUCAAGCCUUCCCUCAUGUCGCAAUGGAGGCAAACCAAUUGAUACCUAGUCUUUUAGGACAUUAUUACAUAAUGGUCCUCCAGACUCAAUGGCCUCUUCUGUAGUGUACGCCUCUAUCAUGGAACCCUCCGGAUGAGCACGAUUUGACAUAUAGCCAUUCAAUAUUGACAUGAAAUGCUCAUACGUCCACAUUUCAUGGAAAUACAUGGGACCUAAUGCCUCUAUUUGAGGUACCAAAUGAACAACAAGGUGUACCAUUAUAUCAAAGAACGAUGGGGGAAAGCACAUCUCCAACUGGCUCAAUAUCUCUGCAGCAAAUUUUUGUAGGGACUCUAACUCAUCAUGGACAAUUACCUUCUCAGAUAUCUUAUUAAAGAAGUAGCACAACCGUGUGAUUGCCAUCUUUAAGAACACUGGAUUUAUAGCCCGGAUGGCGAUAGGAAGAAAAGUGGUCAGCAUGACAUGACAAUCAUGUGAGUUGUAGUUGGUAAAUGUAAGGUCUUUCAUCGACACAAGACUCCUUAUGUUGGAGCAAAAACCAGAUGGAACUUUUAAAUUCUUCAACCACACACACAUUGCAUGUUUCUCCUCUCUAUUCAGGUUGUAGCUUGCUGCCGGUAGGUGGUACUUCCCAUUCUCUUGGAGUACAAGGUGAAGUUCUUUUCUGAUCUUUAAAUGUUGCAUGUCCAAACGUGAAUUGAGACCUUCCUUUGUCUUGCUCUUUAUGUCUAACAAGGUUCCAAUUAUGCUUUCAAACAAAUUCUUCUGAACAUGCAUACCAUCGAUCGCAUGUCGUGCGUCCAAGUCUUUCCAGUACGAUAAGUUCUUGAAGAAAAUGGACUUCUUCUUGAUUGUGUCCCCUUCAUUUGCCUUGACAACCUUUCUUAGUUUCCCAUCUUUGGUCUUCUUUCCAAAAAAAACUUCACAUUCUCAACUAUCUUGUACACUCUAUGCCCUUUACUACAACCUGAUGGAGCAGUAGAUUUUGAUUCAUCAAUAUUGUCAAAGUACUUAUUCAUCUUUUGUAAGCGGUACUUAUGGCCUGCCGGUAGCCAUCUUCUGUGCCUGAUGUACACUAUCUUGUUAGAUGCAGGAAGAGACACGUGCCAUGUUCCAUCUAUGCACUCUACACAACUAACCUUUCCCUUGAACUGGCCUGAUAAUGAGAAGAGAGCAGGGUAAUCAUUAAUUGUGACAAUAAUAAUUGCUCUUAGUGUGAAUGUCUCUUUGCGGAACGCAUCGAUCAUGUCCACACCUACUUCCCAUAGUGUUUCCAUGUCUUGCAUUAAGGGCUCUAGAAAUACAUCCAUAUCAACUCCAGGUUGUGUAGGUCUAGAAAUAAGAAUGGUUAGCAAAAGAUAUUUUCUCUUUUGACACAACCAUGAAGGAAGGCUAUAUAUUGUCAGGAUCACCGGCCAUGUGCUGUGCGUGCUGCUCCUUUCGCCAAAUUGAUUCAUUCCAUCAGUACUCAGUUCAAACCUUACAUUCCGUGGAUCGUCAGCAAAGUCUAGAUAUUUCUUAUCGAAAUCUUUCCAUUGCUUUGCAUGGGCUGGAUGUCGUAACUUUCCAUCAUCUUUCCUUUCAUCUGAAGCAUGACAGGUCAUAAGUUCAGCGUCUUCAGGGUUUGCAAACAAACACCUCAAACGAUCAACCACGGGGAGAUACCAUAUCACCAAAGCAGGAAUUCUUCUCAAUGCAUAAUAGUCCACUUCUUCAUUGCUACUAGGCUUUGAGUGUUUGUCUUGUUGAGUCUUUGUUUGGGUCUUCUUUUGCUUCCUCCCUAUAGAACAGAGGCUAGAUUCUCUUCCUCCCGGUAAUCUUUGUUUGUCUUGUAUCUACUGACACCACAGUUUGGACAACUAUCUAAGUCUUUAAAUUGAUCACCCCGAUAUAGAAUACAAUGAUUUGUACAUGCGUGGAUCUUCUCAACACCUAUCGUAAGUGGACUGACUAGCUUCUUUGCAUAGUAUGUGUUAGCAGGCACUUUGUUCUCCUUAGGAAGAAGGUCUCCAAGUACACGCAAGAAAUCAUUGAAGCUAGCAUCGGACCGACCAUGUCUAGCCUUCAUCGUCAAAAACUGAAGAACGGCACGUAAUGUCGACAACUCUUUGGUACAACCUUUCGACUCGUCGUACAAAGUGUCCUCUGCUACCUUCUUCAAUGCUUCCAUUCCCUUCAUUAAGAAUAUUGAUGGAUCUGCACAACGGUUCAUUAUUGCCUCUAAGAAAUCUGCAUCUUCAACAGCAUUUGUGUUAGCAUGCUGAGUUUCAUUGACAUCAGACGUAUGAGUUUCAUUGACAUCUGGCAUAGCAUGAAAUUCAUUGAGAGGUGGCAUUGGACCCUCGACAUUGAUGUUAGUUACAGUGUUGUCAGUUGUCCGCAUAUAAGGUGCAGAACUACCCUCACCAUGUUUUGUCCAAAUCAAGUAGUCCUCCAUAAAUCCUCUGCAAACUAGAUGGGAAGUAAUUGCUUCUACAUUGUCAAAUACCACAAUAUUUUUGCAGUCUGCGCAUGGACAAUAUAUGUGCUUCGCCUUUGUUCUGCGAGCAUGUAUCUUUGGGACAUCAAUAAAUUUUUGGACCUCCACUACAUAUGAUGGGUCCAAUCUUGAUAAGUUGUACAUCCAUAAUGACCUCUCCAUAUUUAGCUGUAAUUAGUUAAGAACAAUUAAUGUAGGUCAAUCUAAAAACCAAACUAAUAUAACCCUCGAAAACAGACUUAACUAAGAUACUAACCUCCUAUUAAAUAGAGAUGAAAACCUACCCCUUACAGAGUUUACAAUUUAUGGAAUUUAAAUAAUUGUUUAAACUCAUUUUCAUAAUUAUAAGAAACAAUUGUAUAAAAUUUAGGAAUAAUUCAAGGAUUUCUAUGAAGUAUUUAUGCACAAAGAUUUGAAAAAGUAUUUAUUUGCCAUUUUAUGAUUUUCAACAUUUUAAUGUUUGAGUUUAUAAAGUCUAAUUCAUCUGAAAAAAGAAAAGCUAAAACUGAAUCAAAAUUAUAAACUUCAAAAUGUCCUCAUCAUUACUCUAUUGUAUAGAUCUACUCACAAGAAUUCUAAAAAGUAUUUAUUUUCUAUUUUUUUAAUUUCUACAAUUUACUAUUAAUUUACAUAAAAAUUUAGCUAAAACUCUCUCUUGCCCUAUGAACCCUAACCCUAAGCAAGAAUGCUUCAUGAACUCUAGAUCUAGAGCACCUCCAAUACAAGAAUUGAACCAAAGAAUCACUAAAAAAAUAGCAUCAAGGGCUCUAACUAACCUUUUGGAAGUUUCUCACCAAAGAAAUGAAGAUCAAAACCUCCCCCUUGGAAACUAGAAUCGUCUGGUCCGCCUGGUCCGUGCAGAGCUCACGGGAGUAACUGUUCUUGUCUGGAGGUGGACGAAGGGUAUUUAUAGCAGGCUUAACACAGGCGGCUCAUAAAGAGGGCUGUCUGUGUAAAUACAUCAGCACAGGCGGUCCUCUAUACAAACCACCUGUGUAAAAAGACACAUUUACACAGGCGGUUGUCGAAACUCGGCCGCCUGUGUUAAUGGUAUUUACAUAGGCGGUUUUUAUUUAAGCCGCCUGUGUAAAUGUAAAGUUUACACAGGCGGUGUAGUUAAGAAGACCGCCUGUGUAAACGUGUUUACAUAGGCGGUUCUCUUGUUGGGCCCUCUGAAAUUUAUCUACUAGCGCCAUGAUAUUGUGAACCGCUUGUGAAAAAAAACAACUUGCCAGCAAAAAUGAUUUUUGUACUAGUGGAGGAUGCUUAUACCUAAGGUCGAGGACUCCUACCAGUCCUGCUAACGGGAGGUGGACUACAGAGGACCACGUAGCUGUCACCUACGCGGCCUACCACACGAUCCGGCUAACAGGGGAUAUCCACAAGUAAUCUAGGCCUAAGCACCACGCUUACACCUAUACUACAACCCUCACCUAUAGUGUCCUAUAGAUUAAAGUACUCAAAAGAGUUGUGAACCAGAACAUACAUGGAUAGUAAUUGCAUAAUGAAAUAAGAAGUAGAUAACCAGAGUCAUCCCAUGAGCAAGCUUGAUUAGAGCUUGAUCAUGGCGAAGUACAACCGGAGGAAGAACCGAUAGGCCAGCCUCUCCUCCAAUCCUCCCUCGCUCUCCAUCUCGUUACUAUCUAGAUCUACUCUAGUUUAGAGAUGAGAGGUGAGCUCUCAUCUCCAAACCCUAGCUUUUGCUCUAUCUAUGAAUAAUGAAUAAGGGAUGUAGAGGUUGCCUCCUCCAGGGGCCAGGGGGCCUGCUUAUAUAGCCCCUCCAAAUGAAUGUGGGCCGUCGGAUCAAACCAACCUUAAUCGCGCGGUUUUCCAUAAUCCUUUAGGUCGGUGGAGCAUAAUCCGCGAGGCGGAGCCUGAUUGGCUACCAGAGCAGGGCGGGCGCCCUAGGGGGGGAGGGCAGGUGCCCUAUACCAGAACGGUCCAAUUUAUAAGAAUUCAAGUGAAUUAGCGACCACAAAAGCAGUCAAGCCAAUGGACUUAAACCCAUAUAAACCCGGUAGUCCGAUGAAACCUCAAAAGAUCUCGAUUCAAACAACAUACAACCAAGACCGUACAUGAUCAAGCAUCUCCAUCACAGAUUACAUACAUUCAUCACAGAAUAUAGUUUUUACAACACAUCAGAGUUCAAAUAAAUUUAUUACAACAUAGUUCAGUAGCGGAAGCAAAGUAGUUUUGAACAACACACACUUAGUUUAAUUGCAUUCCAGUUUCAUGAUCAUCCCAACAAAAGCAUAACUGAAGAUAAUAGAAGUGAUCUUGCCCGAGAUCUACUCAGCAUCCGCAGCCGGAUGAUGAUAGUUAGCACAGUAGCCGUGAUACACGACAUCAUCUGCAACAAGGGUAAAUAAAACCCUAAGUACGAGAAUGUACUCAGCUAGACUUACCUGUCAUAAACCAGAAAUAAAAUGACACCAAGGAGUAUGCAAGGCUAACAUUUGUGGACUGGUUUGACUCACAUUUUUGCAUAAAAAGCUUUAGUUUAAAGUAACACAUAUAUACAUUUUUAGCAGCAGGUUUAUUACUUAAACAGCUAUCCACUACAUUAGCACCUGAGCUAAGCAUACACUUGAUUAUUAAGCAUCACAAUAAUAACCAUAUCUGGAUUAUCACAUAGCCAUCAUCAUUCUCAUCAUAACCAUUAAGUAUCUUUAGUGAAUUCUACGUUGCCGCUGCGCGAGUCAAGUUUUCACUAUCCGGGAGAGACGACGAUUCGAAUCGAUUCCUAUCCAGCUGGAAGGGUAUUCCUAGCACUCACCCAAGCAUACCUCGUGAGGGCAGCUCGGAUCACCUUUAGCACAACUCCGGACCAAUUCUCGGGUCCGUACAGCGCCGCACCCCUACGGACCGCCAAUCUGCCAGGGUCAGGACUCUUACGCCAUUGACUCCCCGCACAUCCUUGCUACCAACAGGGGUGCGCACUUAAACCGAACGGGGUAUCCGGCCGGAGUGCACUUAUAGGCUUCACGGUCGGAAUGACUUAUCCGGCCAACUAAGUGUUAGGCAUGCGUUCAACAUGACACGAGGACGUACAGCGUAUCAGUCCUUAAACGACACAGACGGGGAUAGAUUCACACCCAAGACCUCCAUGCCUUGUUGCUGCACUAUCGUCAUCCCACCCGGUCUUAAUUCAUUAUUAGCCCAUGGUUAUUUCCACGAUAACAAAUAUAACCAACCGUGAUCCAGUAUCCACCUAUCUCUCGCAGGUGAUAGGAAAUCACCCGGCUUCUACCGAGCUAAGCAUGGCUAAGCAUAAUUUGGACCUACUUAGGUAAGUUAUAAGGUGGACAAGGAAGUCAUUAUGCAGCAAGAUUUAUUACCAGUAGCUAGCAUAUGUCUAAGAAACAACAUAAAACAUCAUGGCAAGCUUUAAACUCAUUUCUAUCAUCACCUUUUCUAUUUAUUUAAUUAUUAACAUGAUUUAAUGAACAUACAACACAAUUGCUCCAAAAAUUCUAAUAAAAUUACAGCAUACUAUCUAAGCUACCACAGGGUUACUGUAAAAUUUUCAUGGCUCUUGCACAUGUAGAUUGUGAGAUACAAAAAUAAUAAGCUAACAAUGGCAUUAAAGGCAUAAAUGUGAAAACCUAUCAAAAAGUGUCAAACAACAGAUUUCAGAUUUUUCUUAGCUUUGUGUACAUAUGAUUACAUCACCCAGCAAGUUUCAUCAUAAAAGGAGUCAUAUUCUAUUUAUUAAAAAUACCACAAGAAACUCCUAUUUAAUUAAGAAAUAUUUAUAACUCUACCAACAGGCAUCGAAAAAUCAUGAUAAAUUUAUCAGAGCCAAUACAUAGCAUGAAGAACAAUUUCCUAAAUUUGCAUGGCCAUAAACUUACAGAUCCCAAGAUAUAAUUACCCUCUAUUUUCCAAGGAUUAAAUCAUAUCUAUUUAUUUCUGCAAAAACAUGGCAAGUUUUAUAUUUUUAAUAAAAACUAGACUAACUCAAGAACCUAACAAAAUUGGAAUCACUCCAUUUGGAUCCAUAUAACUCGAGUUAUGAAUUUUACAAAAACAGCUCAUGCUCUGCAAAAUAGUGAACUAGAGGGGAGAGAGUGAGAGGCUGAUGGGUGGGGCCUGCUGACAGACGGGACCCACGCGACAGAGAGACAGGGAGCAGAGACAAGCUCGUCGCCGGCGAAUCUUGACGACGGCGUGGUCUCCGGGGAAACCGAGGGCAUCUACGUGUUCCUCACAUCAAGGCAAACUCAUUGACCUACUGGGCUCACGCUCUACUAGAAUCUAGGGUGCUCGCCGUCGUGAAUGGCGGAGCGGCGGCGCUGCGCGGUGUUACGCCGGCGAACCUAGGCAACGACGACCCAGUAGAGGUUGCGGACGAGCAAGAGUGAAGCAAGGCGAAGCUGUAGGAAGAAGAAUCACGGCCAGAGGUGAACCAGAGAGGUCUGGCCACGUUGCCAGUGAUCUCUGCGAACUCCGGCGAGGUGGAGCUCGCCACGGCGUUGACAAUGUGGCCUCACCAGUGCUCGGCUAAGGGAAAGAAAUGGACAACGAGGUAGAGGACGUCACGGCGGAGCUCUAGGCGGGCUGGCUUGGCCGGAGACGCCGUGAUGCGGCCGGGAAAGCUCACCAAAGCGCCGCGGAGCUCGCCGAGGCGAUGGCGGAGGGAAAAUGGAGCACUCUGAGUGAGUGGAGGUUGCGUCUGAGGCGUCCAUGCGGUGCGUGGCGACUUGUGGACGACGUUGGGGCUGAUAGGCGGGGUCAUCGGCGGCGUACGGUCGACACCUGGCCGGAUACGCGGCGGCGGACGGCGAGUGUCCAAACUGAAUCGGUGUGUGAAACGCCCGAUCACCGUGACUGAAACUCCAAAUUCGUCGAUGUUUUACUCGAGAUUUACUCGAUGGUUUUGGCUCGGGUUUGUUCCAUUGGGUAGAGCUACACAAGUUCUACAAGAGUGCUUAAAGGAUCAAGGUCUUGUUUGGCUUGGAUUUCAAACUAUAGAGCUCCCAAGUACCCUAGGAGCAAACUGUGUCGACUCUGACUUAGGCAAAUUUGGCAAAGUGUGGAAACAGCCCUGAUUUUUGCCUUGUGAGCAAAUUUUGAAUGUGUUUCAAGCAUUUUCAUAAAUGGUCAUCAACACAACUUUUUUAUCUUACAAAAUUUACUACAACUUUUCUUUAGAUGACAAUUACAUGCAAGGUAUCUAACAAUGGUUUCAUAAAAGAUCUUUGAAAAGAGGUUGAGGGAGUCAACUAGGUCAACCUAGGGCUAACCAUGACUUAGGGGCAUUUUUGGGUGAAACCUCCAACACAAACUUUGAUUAAAAUGAUAUUCUAAACAUGAUUAAAGUAUUUUGGAAGACAAUGUGCACUUAUAUGCAUUGGUCACACAUUACUUUCACAUAUAGCAAGUCACAUAGCAAUUCAAUCACAUAUGACAUACACAAGAUGACAUGUGAUCAUGAUAUGAUGCUUAUGAAUGAGCAUGAUGAUGCUUAGGUUGAUGCAAUGCUCAUGGUUAACAUGCAAGCUAACACUAGGAGUGUUACAGCCCUCCCCCCUUACAAAAAUCUCGUCCCGAGAUUUGAAAGACGUACCAUUUUUCAUAGAAUGAGGAGUAAGUUACUUGUAAAUAGUCUUCCCUUUCCCAAGUGGCAUCUCUUUCACUUUGAUGGUUUCACAAAACCCUAAAAAGUUUAAUCACUCUCCCUCGAGUAACCCUUUCCUUGAUAUCAAGAACUUGCACAAGCUUCUCUUCAUAAGAUAAAUCUGACAGUAACUUAAGACCUCCUGUUUCAACUCUCUCUUCGGGCAUGCGAAGGCACUUCUUGAGUUGGGACACAUGGAACACAGGGAAGAUAGCUCUCAUUUCCAGAGGUAGUUGUACCUUGUAAGCCACUUAGCCACUUUUCUCAACAAUUUGGUUGGGACCCACAUACCUAGGAGCAAGCUUUCUCUUCACUCCAAAGCGAUUACUCCCUUCAUGGGUGAUACCUUCAGGUAUACAAAGUCACCUACUUCAAACUCGAGUGGUCUUCUUCUUCGAUCAGCAUAGCUUUUCUGUCUAGCUUGGGCGGCUUCCAUGUGCUUCUGAAUAACUAGAACUUGCUUUUCGGCUUCGUUGACAAAGUCAAUGCCGUAGUACCUCCUUUCACCAGGUUCGACCCAGUUUAGAGGAGUUCUACAUUUGCGGCCAUAUAAAGCUUCGAAAGGAGCCAUGUGAAUGCUCUCUUGAUAGCUAUUAUUGUAAGAGAAUUCUGCUAAGGGUAGUCACUUCUCCCAUGCACCCUUGGAAGAGAUGACACAUGCCCUCAACAUAUCCUAUAAAAUUUGAUUCGCCCGCUCAGUCUGACCAAAGGUUUGAGGAUGGUAGGCUGAACUACGAACCAAAUUUGUACCAAGGAGUGAAUGUAAAUGUUCCCAGAAGCGAGCAGUGAACUGAGGACAUCUAUCAGAUAUAAUAGUGCGAGGCACCCCGUGCAAUUUAACUACCUGAGAGAAGUAUAACGAGCAUAGUCUGAUGGUCGGUAUGUAGAGUGUAUGGGAAUGAAAUGAGCUGACUUGGUCAAGCGAUCAACAAUGAAAUUGUGCCCUUUUUUAAGUAAGGGGAAGUCCAACAAUGAAAUCCAUGCUGAUUUCUUCCCACUUCCAUCCUGGAAUCGACAAGGGUUGCAACAACCCUGCGGGUUUAAGGUGAAUUGCCUUUACCCUGCAGCAAGUAUCACACUUAGCAACAUAAGCUGCUAUCUCCUUCUUCAUCUUGGUCCACCAGAAACGAGGUUUCAAGUCUUGGUACAUUUUGCUACUACCAGGAUGAAUGGACAACUUGGAAGAAUGAGCUUCAUCUAAGAUUUUGUUGUGUAGGUCAUGGUCUUUGGGUACAACCAGUCGAUCAUCAAACCACAGUACACCUUUCUCAUCAACCCUGAAAUGCUUGGUGUCUUGCUCUUUCAUUUUCCUCUUGAUAUGGAAGAUACCAAGGUCAGUCUUUUGAAGCUCUAUAAUUUGACUCUCUAAAGAACAACUGACUACAAUAUUGUGCAGGACCACUGGAUGCAAUAAAUUGAAACCUUCCUCUAGGAGAGGUUCAACAUGUUGCUUUCAGCUAAGAGCGUCGGCUACAACAUUGGCUUUGCCUGGAUGAUAAUGCACUUCAAUAUUAUAGUCCUUUAUCAACUCCAACCAUCUUCUUUGUCUCAUGUUUAGCUCAGGCUGGGUGAAGAUAUAUUUGAGGCUCUUAUGGUCAGUAUAAAUGUGACAUAGAUUACCCAACAGAUAAUGCCUCCAGAGUUUCAAUGCAUGCACAACUGCUGCUAACUCUAGAUUAUGAGUCGGGUAGUUAACUUCGUGCUUCCUCAGCUACCGACAGGCAUAGGCAAUGACUCGGCCUUCUUGCAUAAGUACACAACCUAAGCCAGUGCCGGAUGCAUCACAAAAGACAUCAAAUGGCUUUUCAAUGUCAGGCUGUGCCAAAACAGGAGCAGUGGUCAGCAAAUGGCGUAACGCGGUGAAAGCGACUUCACACUCCUGAGACCAUUCAAACUUCACAUCUUUUUGCAGUAGCUUAGUCAUAGGCUUAGCUAUUUUGGAGAAGUCUAGAAUAAAGCGACGAUGAUAUCCCGCUAGACAAAGAAAACUCCGAACCUCGUGUACUGAAGUCGGGGCCUUCGAGUCUAGAACCUCCUGCACCUUUGACGGGUCAACAAAAAUAUCGUCUUUAGAUAGAAUAUGACCUAGAAAAGGCACUUUCUUCAGCCAAAACUCACACUUGCUGAACUUGGCAUAAAGCUGAUGUUCUCGCAAUCUAUUGAGUACAAUCCGAAGGUGCUUCUCAUGGUCUUGGGCAUUUUCAGAAUACACCAAUAUGUCAUCGAUGAACACUACCACAAACUUAUCUAGUUCAGGCAUGAACACCGAAUUCAUCAGGUACAUGAAAUGAGCAGGGGCAUUAGUCAGACCAAAGGACAUGACCAGAUACUCAUACAACCCAUACUUGGUAGAGAAAACCGUUUUAGGGAUGUCUUCCGGUUGGAUCUUGAUUUGAUGAUACCCGGAUCUCACAUCAAUCUUUGAGAAUACCUCAGCCUUGGCUAAUUGGUCAAACAGAAUAUCAAUAAGGGGCAGGGGAUACUUGUUCUUGACAGUUACGGCAUUUAGCGGACGAUAGUCUACACACAUACAUAGAGACUUGUCCUUCUUCUUGACAAAGAGAGCCGGACAACCCCACGGAGAUGAACUAGGCCGAAUAAGACCUUUUUCUAGGAGUUCUUGCAAUUGUUUCUUCAAUUUUGCCAAUUCAUUGGGCGGCAUUCGAUAUGGCCUUCUAGAGAUAGGUGUGGUACCCGGAAUUAGAUCAAUUUUAAAUUCUGUGUCUCUGUUUGGUGGCAACCCGGGCAGGUCCUCUGGAAAGACAUCCGGAAACUCACAUACUAUAGGAAUUUCUGCCACAGUGAGUGGUCUGAUAGCAUUUGCAGCGUGACGGAUGUCGUCAUUUUUGGGAAGUUGGACUAAGAAAGCUUCUUUACUAUCAGGCUCCCUCAACAUGCCUACCCUUGUUGAGGUAUCUAUUAACACCCCAUUAUUACUCAUCCAGUUCAUUCCCAAGAUAACAUCUAUUCCCAGGCCUGGUAAAAUCACAAGAUUUACUGAAUAGUUACGACCUUCAAUAGCAAUAUGCACAUCCUUCACUAACUGGUUUGUGGAAACUUGAUUCCCAGCGACACUAAUAAAAAAUUUGCCAUUGUCAAGAUCAACUACAUGUUGCCCAUGCCUAGAUGCGAAUGCUUGACUCAUAAAUGAAUGCGAAGCUCCCAAAUCAAACAAGACAACUGCAGGGUGUUGAUUGAGAAGAAACAUACCAGCCGUAACCACUUCACCUUUGGGGAUUUCUUCAAUGGUGGUAUAGUGCACUCAGCCGGUACGGUUAUUAACCCCAGCUGUAGAGUUCCUCUUAGGAUAAGGGCAAUCCCUCACCCAGUGACCAACUUGUUUGCAAUUGAAGUAGGGGCGGUUAUCAGGGGGAGUUUUGGGGCUCCCUUGACCUGUAGCACCCCUAGGAAGAGCAACUGUGAACGACUUUUGAACUCCUGUCUUCACAUUUGACUUCUUCUGCGGUGGCCUAUACCUUGUCACGGCAUUAGGUGGGCGAUAGGCCGGCUUACUUGUCACCGAAGCCUUGGACUGCGAAGCACCUGCUUCAUAGGCUCUCUUGCAAUUCUUGGAGGCAGCAUAUAUAGCAUUGGAGUUCUCGUGGGUCAACGCAUCACUCACAAAAUCAUUGAAGGUGGUACUCUUGUUACCAGCCAUGUUCUUGGAUAGCUUGGGCCCAGUCCUCUCUUGAAACUAGCAAGCUUCUUAGCCUUAGUGUCAACAAACUCAGUAGCAUAGCGAGACAAGUUAUUGAAAGCAUGGAGAUACUCAGUCAAACUUUUAGUGCCCUGAGCUAAGUUCAUGAACUCGGUAUGCUUGAUAGUCAUUAAGCCCUGCAGAAUAUAAGUGUUCCUAAAAGCAAUUUUAAACUGACCCAGGUUACAACAGCAUUGGCAGGCAAGCUGGUCCUAUAAUGGCUCCACCAGACACCUGCUUUGCCUUCUAACUGGUGUGCUGCAUAUUCCGCCUUUAGUUCUUCAAUCAGCCUCAACAAGUGGAACUUCUGCUCAAGAGUAUUGAGCCAUUCAUCAGCUUCCAGAGGUUCAGAGGCCUCCUUGAAAACUGGUGACUUAGGGUCCUGAAAGUCCUUGAAACUGCUAUAUUGAUUCGCUUCUCCGCCCUGAUGGGCAUGGCGACCACCCCGGUUCUACUGUGCCAUCGUCUGCAUAGCUUCAUUGAGCAUCGGCUGGCCCUCGACAAGAGUUGCCAGGAGCUCAGCAGGUGUAGGUGGGGGAGGAGGUGGUGGUGACGGCACCUCAUUAUGGCCGGAUCGAGUGUUGCGAGCCAUAUGCACAAGGCAUACCAAGUGAUCGUUUAGGAUGACAGAAAUAUUGUCAUAAACCUUGAUUGAUGCCAUACAAAAUUUACUGAAAUAAAUCCACAUAUCACAAGGCACAAUAAUCCAUUUACAACAAGUGAAUAUCAUCCAUAAUAUUGGUUACACCCACAAUCACAGGAUUUCACAGGGAUUAAAGACAUCACUGGAAAUUUAUUCAAGCUCAACAUAAGCAUGGAGUAUCUCACAGAAGUGCAUGGGGUUACACAGAGUCAUUGUCACAACUUAAGUCUUACAGGAAGGGCACCAUGGCCAAACACAUAGUCUCAACUGAAAUUUCAGAUUACAUGACCAAUACAUAAAGAGGUGGAAACUGGUACAUAAAUUUGGAGCCCAUAGCUAAACUACAGAUCUUCCUCAGAUUCUUCCUUAUAGACUAUACCAUCAUCCUGAUCCUCCUCACUGGGGUCCUCUUCCUGAUUAACGGGGAUAGGGUGUGGGAUAGGAUUGAUGAUAUUAUUCAGGCGAUGGACAUCUAACUGCAGCUCAGCAAUCCUAUGGAUCAGCCUUCCUCUCUAAUCUCAGCUUGGAAUAAAGGUCUAACUCUAGCAGCCUCUCUAUUUUCAGCCAAGCGUAUAGCCUCAUCUCGCUCUCUAGUCAUUUGCAUCAUGUGUGCUUGUGCCUCAUUGCGCUCUCUAACUAUAUUUUCGACUUGGUUGUGGCGGGCUUGCAAAGCGGUAUGUUAGUUUUGAAUUUCAGCUUGUGCAUCACUAAAGGCUUUGCGGUGCUUGUGCACGCGCUUGCACAGCUUGCGCUGCCCAACUUGAGCUUGUUGGAGCGCUAGCAUGGCUACUAUGUAGGUAUCUUGGUGUACAUAGUACAGCUUAAGUACCGCCAGCAUGGCACUCGUAGCAGGGCUAGAGCUAUAUCCUAGUAUGAUUUCUCUCAUCUCCAGGUCAGUUCCUAUCUAGGACACAAAGGUAUCAGUUACACUCACUCUAGGAAAGGAUCCAACUGGGCCAUUGACUAGCUCAUCACCAUAGUCUUGGCAUAUUUCUAACAGCACUUCUAAGGCUGCUACUUGAGCACCCUCCCAAGGAGUUUGACCAUCGGACUCUACUAUCCAACCUAGCCAUUGUGGGUUGUUUGGACAAGGAGGAACUGUAAUUUGGACAUCUACCAAAGGUAAAGAUCAUGCAUGCUCGGCCUCUGUCCAAGUGUACUGAGGUGGUUCCUCAUAUCCCACUGAACUCAGCACCCUCCACAACAAGGUAGGAGUGCCAAACAUGUCCAAAAAAGUCUCACUUGCAUGUGGGGCUGCCAUCUGUAGGAAAGACCACAACUUGAGUAAGGAAGAUUAAUUACAAGAGAAGGUAAUUAGGUAUAGUUUUGGAAUUACAAGAAUUAAGUAGAGCAUAAGGAAUGCAUGAAUGAUUCAUGAUGCAUGCAUGUUCCAUACGACCUUGCCAUUCCUAGGAAGAAAUUUCUAGCGGUAUAGUUGGUGGCAUACAUACGCGCUCUCUUUAUGCGUAACUACACGGUCUACACGUUUCAUUGUUGGUGUACCUGCAGAAAAUUUCAUUUCAGCCCGACCCCACAAGAGUAUAUGUGCAGAAAUGAAAGUCUAAUCAUGUACAUUCAAGCUAGGUGCUUCGAUAUAUUUCCCUGAACAUAUAUCGCAGCACACUACCCAUUUUGAGAACACCCACCUAUACAUCAAACAUGUAUACGUGGCUGCACCUACUACCCACAAUUAAGUACCUUCAUAUAUACUUGUGUGCAACAUGUAAAUAUUCUAGUAACCACAGCUAACACUCCCCUAGAUCGACGGUUGGACGGUCAUGCUCUCACAGCUCACACUUACUGUAGCAUAGAGGCAUAUAGAUCCAUACAUUACCACUCAAGCAAGUGGCAUCCAUACAAUUUCACGCCGCAUGGACGACGAAAGAAAAACAUUGCUUACCAUGACGUAGAGGUAUAUGAUCCAUUCAUUACCACUUAAGUAAGUGGCAUCCAUAUUAUUACACGCCAUAUGGACGCCGAAAGGAAAAACCCCCUUGUUAGUAGUAUUAAGCCACCUAGAAGUCCUUAACGGGCCUAAAGGGUAUGACCACUGGCAUGGUAUAUUUGUUCAAUCAUUUUAAAACAGCCCUAUGUAUAUUCUAAUUUGCCAAUUAGUUUGGGAAAAGCAAAUUCAUUUAUUUUUAAAUACAUCUAUGAUGGUUAACAGAACCGUCUAAUUUAUAAGAAUUCAAGUGAAUUAACGACCAUAAAAGCAGUCAAGCCAAUGGACUUGAACCCAUAUAAACCCGGUAGUCUGACGAAAUCUCAAGAUCUUGAUUCAACCAAUAUACAACCAAGACCGUACAUGAUCAAGCAUCUCCAUCACAGAUUACAUACAUUCAUCACACAACAUAGUUUUUACAACACAUCGGAGUUCAAAUAAAUUUAUUACAACAUAGUUCAGUAGCGGAAGCAAAGUAGUUUUGAACAACACACACUUAGUUUAAUUACAUGCCAGUUCCAUGAUCAUCCCAACAAAAGCAUAACCGAAGAUAAUAGAAGUGAUCUUGCCCGAGAUCUACUCAUCAUCCGCAGCCGGAUGAUGACAGUUAGCACAGUAGCCGUGAUACACGACAUCAUCUGCAACAAGGAUAAAUAAAACCAUGAGUACGAGAAUGUACUCAGAUAGACUUACCCGUCAUAAACCAGAAAUAAAGUGACACCAAGGAGUAUGCAAGGCUAACUUUGUGGACUAGUUUGACACACAUUUUUGCAUAAAAAGCUUUUGUUUUAAGUAACACAUAUAUACAUUUUCAGCAGCAGGUUUAUUACUUAAACAGCUAUCCACUAGGUUAGCACCUGAGCUAAGCAUACACUUGAUUAUUAAGCAUCACAAUAAUAACCAUAUCCGGAUUAUCACAUAGCCAUCAUCAUUCUCAUCAUAACCUUUAAGUACCUUUAGUGAAUUCUACGUUGCCGCUGCUCGAGUCAAGUUCUCACUAUCCGGGAGAGACGGCGAUUCGAAUCGAUUCCUAUCCAGCUGGAGGGGUAUUCGUAGCACUCACCCAAGCAUAUCUCACGAGGGCAGCUCGGAUCACCUUUAGCACAACUCCGGACCAAUUCUCGGGUCCGUAUAGCGCCGCACCCCUAGGGACCGCCAAUCUGCUAGGGUCAGGACUCUAUCCUGACACCUCGGUCUUACGCCAUUGACUCCCCGCACAUCCUUGCUACCAACCAGGGUGUGCACUUAAACCGAACGGGGUAUCCAACCGGAGAUGCACUCGUAGGCUUCGCGGUCGGAACGACUUAUCCGGCCAACUAAGUGUUAGGCAUGCGUUCAACAUGACACGAGGACGUACAGCGUAUCGGUCCUUAAGUGACACAGACGGCGAUAGAUUCACACCCAAGACCUCCAUGCCUUGUUGCUACACUAUCGUCAUCCCGCCCGGUCUCAAUUCAUUAUUAGCCCAUGGUUAUUUCCACGAUAGCAAAUAUAACCAACCGUGAUCCAGUAUCCACCUAUCUCUCGCAAGUGACAGGAAAUCACCCGGCUUCUACCGAGCUAAGCAUGGCUAAGCAUAAUUUCGAUCCUGGACCUACUUAGGUAAGUUAUAAGGUGGACAAGGUAGUCAUUAUGCAGCAAGGGUGUCAUAUCAACGCCUAACACUUAAUGCAACAAUACAUAACCAUAGUUAAUUGACAGUUGGACAUGUGUUGGGUAUUUUAAACGCAAACAGAAAAAUCCGCAAGCGCACGGAUACCGAUGUAGCUUUCACCCGGGAGUAUUCCAGAGUAUCGAUUUUCCACAGAGAACGUGAGUGUACUAAUUAAGAUCCAAGAUCGCCCAAGGAUAACUAUAUAAUUAUUUUUGGUGGGAAGAGAGGAAGUUUACUGAGAGUUCUCUAGUUGAUCUAAGAAUCAAGAAUUACUUCAAGAUUAUCUAUAUCGGGACAUCAGAGCACUAACCACAGAAAGAGAUGAGAAGGGGGCUAGGAAGGUCUGACUACGGUCCUACAAACACCGAUCCGAACGAGGUGGAAUACGUCGACCGUUAGGGCUGUCACUACCCUAGGGCUACCACAACAAUCCGUGGGAUUGGGUGCAAUUUCAGGUAAUCGCAAGACUUAACACCACGUCUAAUCUAUUAAUUACUACUCUAGCGUUAUAAAGACUAGAGCACUUGAUGCAAGCGGGAAUCCAAUAAAUAACUAGAACUAGAUCUAGAUGAACUAGAGGUAGAACUAGAAGAACUAGAGGGAUCCUCUCUACUUGGAUGAAGAAUUGAAACCCUAGCUUUGAUUCUGUAGAAGAGGUAUGAUCUCCAGGGGCCAGGGGGGUCUGGUUUUAUAGUCCCUUCAAGUGAAUCUGGGCCGUCGGAUCAAACCGACAUUGAUCGUGUGGUUUUCCUUGAAGUAUUAGGUCGGUGGAGCAUGAUCCCCGAACUUCACCCUGAUUGGUGGAAAGAGGUGGGCGGGCGCCCUUAGGACUAGGGCGGGCGCCCAGUGCCUGAGCCCUCUCGGCCUCCGCUUCGGUCCCGUGGCUUCUGGAGUCUUUCUAGAUGGUAGAUAAUUGUGCGGCACGUUAAUAUCUCUAUGUAAACCCGACGUGUGGGCCUUUCUUCCAUAUUUCCUGAUAACCCCCUGCAGAAAUAGACAAACACCAAAACUUGUGGAAUUCUGUCAGAUAAAACCCUAAGUCUAGGUGUUGGUUGCAUUUGGAUCCUUUUCUAUGAUUAGUUGAUGGUUAAAUGUGAGCAUUAAGGACCGUCAACAAGCUCCCCCAAGCUUAACCUUUGCUCGUCCCUGAGCAAAGAUGAACUCAAGAGUUUCUGUAGUGGUUUCAUAACUUAAAGAUACACAUGCGUUCAAACAAGAUCAAAUCUCUGGGUUAGAGUAAACUGUUAAGACUUAAAACUUACUCAUUUACCUUUCACCAUGGGACUUAUAACCGUCACCUCUGUCUUGAGUAGUUAAAAGAUAGAACAGUCUAGUCAAGCACCAUGUCUCUUGUUCUUCGAUUAACUAUAGCUCUGGAGUUUUUGCAGAUUUUCAAAUAAAACUCAGAGAUUCCUUGUAUGACUCUCUCUAGUCUCUCUUUUGUGGUAUUUCUGGAUCCUUACCAAGGCAUUAAUGGUGUAUGCCUUCUCUCAAAAUAUGUGGUAUUUGUGGUAUGAGGCAUAGUGACAUUGCCUUUUCUCUCACCCUACUCUAACAAGGCUUUUGAUAUCUGGAGCUCAUAGGUGGGAGACAGCUAAUACAUACUUACAAGACAUUUAUUGCAUAGUCAAACCAUGGAUCCAGAAGAACAAGUCAAUAAGUCAAAUCAAGAUGUGCAUGUGUGGCGAAUGAAUGGUGUAUGGUGAUGAUGGUGAUAACAACGGUGAAAGUCUAAUUCUACUUAUGCUCUUUUGAGGGGAUACAUACCUUUCUUGCAUUUGAGGCUUUUUGAGGAGAAUGAGAUGCUCUAUAUUUUCUUUUUCUUUUCUCUCAGGUGGGUAUCUUGUACCCCUAAUUCUACUAUCGGACACAUGUCCAUUUUUACCUCUCGUCUCACCUUUUCUUUUCUUUCGAGGUUCCGGGCACUUGCCCCUUUUUAUUUCCUCGUAUCUCUUUUUUUUUCUCUUUUUUUCAUUUUUUUUCUCUUUUUUUUAUUAGAGCACUCAUCUCAUGAGAUAAUAUAGCAAAUGGUAGUAACAAGAUAACUUGAGCAUUUAUUUCAUAGGGGAAAAAUAGAAAUAUUUUUGGCUAUUCUCUCCCAGAUUAGGAGUAGAAUAUUUUUGGGUGGUUCUGGAGAUGGAAAUGGAUGGAUAUAUGUGGAUGCGUACUUCCAGAGUGGGAGCAGCAUGUAUGAGUGAACGUGCAAGUGAAUCUUGAUUUUAACCACAUGACAAGCUCCUAAGGGUCUACACAGCUUGACCACACUCAAUGCUCAAAAGUAGUAAAGUAAAUGUGUGGUUCAUAGUCUAGCAAGCAUGUAUAUAUGGCUGUGGUAGGAAUUUAAACUCUCAUCAUACAGGAACUCAUGAUGCAACAUUUUAAAGAUUUUCAAAGAUAAAAUUCUCCAGAAUUCUAGCAUCUCUAGGAACAAAUAAACAGCAGCUCAACCUUCCCAUAUCAUAUCCGUUAACGACUUAGACUUCAGAUCAAGUACUCUUCCCACAAGUUCAGGUUUAGAGCAAAUCUUAAUUAAUAACAGUCAUGCCUAAACUUGAGAGAGAUUUCAAUUUUGAGAACUAAUUAUGGUAGAGCAACUAUUCAUCAUUUCCAUGUGAGAGCUUAUCAUGAGGGUUCAUAGCAAAUUUUAUUUAUUUAUUUAUUUAGCAAACUAAGCAAAGAUAUAUAUAUAAGCACAAAAUCUUUAUUUGGGUUUUUACGAUUAUGCAUCUUUUUAUUAUUUGAGUAAAAUAUAAACGUGAGUAGAAUACUUAGCUGGAUAAAUGGAGGUGCUCUCCCCCAAGCUGGAUUUUGACGUAAUUCCUUCUGAUGUAGCUAGCAGGUGGCGAAGGUAUAUUUGAAUGUCAGCAGCACCCUGACGGCGACUAGGAUGUCCUCCGUCUGCUAGUCUUCUUUGAUCCUUGAAUUCUGUGGAGCUCAAAUAGACAACAAAGCUUGUGGAACUAGUUAAGUGUUAGCAUAAAUAUCUAGCCUUUAUCAUGUUGAGUCUCCUCAAUAAAUAUUACACUUUUUAGUGGGAUCAUAAAUCUAUUUUUAUAAUUUUAUUUUUAUAGGACAGGAAUAUAUUUAUUUCAUUUUAAUGCCACCACAGUGAAUGUACUUAUGGGUUUUAUGCCAUGAGCAUACUCACAUGGGGCUUACUAUUUUUUAACAUUUUUAUUUUUCUUUUCGAGAUGAUAUGAACCUGAUUAACUAAGCAAACUAUUUUAAGAUAAUUGAAAAGAAAAGGAUAACUACCAAGUUUACCUCUUGGCAAGACGUUCGGUGUUUUUAAGUCCUCCGAACGGGAUUCUCCGUUUUCUCAGUCGUCUUGGGAUUCGCUGGAUGGCGUAGUCGGUGGUUCCGGCGGCGCCUGCUCUUCGUGUAUAACUAUCUUCUUUCUGCACACCUGACUCGGUGCUACGGUCUCCUCAGGACAGUUCUGUUCAAGCUGUAUGUCUUCAGACCUUACGACUUCUCCUUCAUAGUCUGCCCAUCCGUCCUUGAUGAUUUGCCUCCUCUAGUUGCGGUUGCGUCGUAUUCUUCUUGCCCUGACCUGCUUAGAGUCUUCAACUAUAUAGUUAGGGUCAGUAAAAUAGCAGCGUACCUUCUCAGAGGGGAAGUGCAUGUGGACUUCUCCGAUUCCAAUGUAGAUGAUUGCUUUAGCGGUGCUGAGGAACGGUCUCCUAAGGAUGAUGGAUGGAUCGUACUUGUCUUCUCCCAUGUCAAUAACCUUAAAAUCAUCUGGAGCUGAAUGUAUGUCGGUUUUAGGGGCAUGGUUCCAUGCAGGAGAUGAUAAGUGACUACGGCCAUUAUGUUGACGUCAGAUCCGGUGUCGUAGAGUGUCUUCUGAAAAUAAUAUCCGUUGAUUGUGCACUUGAUGAUUGGGACACCAGGGUCGUCCUUCUUGAUCAAGAAAGAUGACUUGAGUUGACGAUCUUGACCUCCUUGAGCUGCAGUGACCAUCCUAGCUGACUCGGUACACAUUUGCUUGUUCCUGUUCCUCAUGUUGGUCCUUCCUUGGUUCAUGUCAGGAUUGCUCUAAGAUUUGUGUAGUCUUGUUCUUAAAGGAAAACGUCUCCGUCCUUCCCAUGAUGUAGAAACUGAUCUUGGCAGCACUAGCGUAGAUGAUAGCUCCCGAGGUGUUCAGGAAUGGCCUCCCUAGGAUGAUGGGUGCCCUCUCAUCAGUAUCAGUCUCUAUCACCACGAAGUCUGCUGGAGCGUAUAAGGUACCAACUCGGACGUAGAGGUUCUUCAAUAUUCCCUUUGGGAAACUUAGUGUCUGAUCUGCAAGCUGCAAACACAUGGUUGUUUCUAGGAAAGGAUGUGUAAAGAAUUUUUCAUAGAGUACCCGGAGCAUAAUGUUGACGCUGGAGCCAAAGUCGCAGAGUGCUUCUAGGAAGUCCACCAUGCCGAUGGAGAUCGGGAUGAUGGUGCGUCAUGGAUCGCCUCUCUUGACCGGCAGAAGGUCAGUAAUUACUUCCACAACGGGGUUACUCCAGUAGUUACAUCCUCAAGCAUUUUAGGGCAGUGAUUGCCUGAGUGUCCAGUAUCUCCAGUGUGUUUGUGGUUCUUCACUUGGUGGAGUCUGGGAGUUGUAAAAGUCCUUCAUAUUUUGCUCAAAGUGUACCUGCUCAUAGAGACAAGGCAGAGAUCAAGUGCAUGAGCCCUGUUGGUGGAAAACACCAACAGAGCCAAAAGUGUAUUUGUUCUCUCUAAUCUUAAGCAUAGUGAGCAAGACAAAGUUAAUGGAUAAUAAGAUCAUGAGUGUAACAUUUAAAACAUUUGUCAGAUCAUAUCGCUCAACCUAAUGGAAAGAUAAUCUAUCUAUAUAUAUGUUUUGUUUAUAUCUUCCAAAGAUUGAGUGUGCAACAUUUUAGCUAUAUGAUUAGGAGUGUGGAAUCACAAAGGUGGAAGGACUAAACAUGUUGAAUCAAUUGGUUUGGUUAAUCUAGAGUUGUAGAUCAUACAUGUUUGUCUCUUUUAUUCAUGUGAAUGCCAGAAAUAAGGAGAAGCUUAUAAAAGUGAUAGUCAAGUACCUUAAGAUGUUACCUUACUUGAAGAGUGAUGGUACAGUAUCACCUUGUGGAAGCUUUCCUCUCUUAGCGGUUGUGCAUCGUGUUUGUGGCACCCUCCAUGAAUCAUCUCUUGUGAGCUAUGCCUUCCUUGUGUAAAUUGUUAAACUUUAUGUGUCUCUCUCUUUGUCUCCAAUGUGAGUUUAUCUCAGGACUUCCCAGGUCGAUAUUGAAAGUUUUCCUGCAGGGGUUAAUCCAACAAAAUAUC
rnacentral:lncRNA from 1 species